rnacentral:lncRNA from 1 species
UUGGCUGUCUGCGCGGGGAGAAGUUGAUCCCUUCUGCUACACUUGCCGCCACGGCCCUCACUCCCGCCAUACCGUCCGUCGACUAAACGAGUUGGGAUGCCUCGUGCUCGACCAACCAAAUACCCUUCUACUCUCCUCCCUCCCUCGCUUACUCACCCCGCUGCUCUUCCCUGCUCAUGCUCUUGCUCUCCCUCCCUCCAUUCCGUGUUUUUUCUACUUGACGUAGACCAAGGGGUGCUUCGCCUUGCAUGCCUUCGUGUGGUUGAGUUGGUGCUCUUCACGUAAGGGUGUGGUUGUUGCUGUUGGUGGAGGUUGUGCGUUUUUUUUUUUUUUUUUUUUUUUUUCCUUGUAUCACGUGGCGGUUUUUUUGGAAAGUUGAGCGCGGGAAUUGUUACUGCACGGUGAAGGAGGUGGAAGGCUGUGAGUGUGUGUGUGUGUGAGAGAGAGAGAGAGAGAGAGAGAGAGAGUUUGAAGUGGAGGUCGGGAAAAUUAACGUCAACUUUUUUUUUUUUUUUUUUUUCUUUCUUGAACUUGAUCAAUUUCGAGGGACUGUUAGUAUAUCUGAUAUAGGGAGUGGUACUANNNNNNNNNNNNNNNNNNNNNNNNNNNNNNNNNNNNNNNNNNNNNNNNNNNNNNNNNNNNNNNNNNNNNNNNNNNNNNNNNNNNNNNNNNNNNNNNNNNNGAAAUUGAUGAGAGAUGCGAGAGGGUUGAGGUUGAGAAAGGGAGGAAUUUAGAGGACAUGACUUAUGGGGAGAGGGCGAGUGCUGGUUUAUAGGGGUCUGGAAUUGUUACGGUACAGGUUGGGGCGAAGAUUCCCUCAUGUCCGAGGGAGAGGACGCUUCCCGCUCUUUGGGAUUCAAAUUUUGGGGUGGUGAAGGUCGUGGGUUGUGUGCCUGAUCCGGUGGGUAAGAGGACGUACAAUGUGCUGGGAUUGGGAUGCAUAAGCUUCUCGCAGACGAAUAGGUGGUAGGUUAGUUCAUACCUGUCUCGAUGGAUUCGUCGCCACUCACGAAGCAGCUUCGGCGGAGUCCACUUCAGAGUCGGGCUCUUGCGAGCGGAGAUAAAAUGCCCCCGGUUACACCUGACACGCGAAACGAUGUGAAUACAGCAAGGGGAAGGGUUUCUCAAAAUUCAGAUCCGGAUAGUAUGAGCAGAGGGAAAGAGAAUCGGGUGCUCAGGGGCGGGUGCAGUGUGAAGAGGCUUACAGGCAGUCCAGCUCUACGAAAGUAUGAUGCAUUGGACGAAUCCACCCAGAGUUUGUCGCUAUCCAUUGAUGGUGAGAGCCAUGUGCAAUCGGAUGCUUGUACACGAGCUCACUCCUCAUACAAUCGGAAGGACAAAUCCUUGGGUCUUCUUUGUGAAAAGUGAGUCCUUUACUUCAGCUGCUGAGCACGCAUCACAUUGCAGACUUUUCACAACAUAGUUCGAUUUGUUUAGGUUAAAUGUAUGCCAUAUCAAGUAUUUCGAGAACCGACAAUGUCGAAUUUUAUCGUCCGCUUCCUACGAAAUCUAGGUUUGGUUAUGUACUGGUUGAUGACGCCAUUGGAUGGCGAGCAGCUUGGCUCUAUAAUUGCAGUUUGGUAUUUCAUACAAGGCUCUAAAAUGUGUUGGGUUUUUGACAUUGAGUGUAUUAGAAUUGGUUUAGGGCUCCUCGCUUUGACGAAGUCUUUUUCGGAACCCCUUUUUUUUUUUUUUUUCCUUCUUCUUCUUCUUCUUCUUCUUCUUCUUCUUUUCUUUUUCCUGUAACUAUACGAGAUAUGCUGAGUGAGUUACAUUGGCGCCUCUAAUAAUUUUGCCACAUGGGAACUGAACUUUUGCCCUCACGGGUAACAUCGUUGCAGGAGUACUGUUCUCAACGAGGAAAUUUUACAGUAAGUUUCGAGUACUAGGUUAGCACUAGUCAUUGCUAAUGCUGAUGGUGACGUGUUGUUGCAGCUUCUUGAAUCUGUAUGGGACCGAGGAAGGAGAGUGCAUUAGUCUCGAUGAAGCUGCGAGUCGUUUAGGUGUCGAGAGGAGGCGUAUUUAUGACAUUGUGAAUGUUCUCGAAAGUAUAGAGGUGCGUUGCCCUUGUCUAUUAUUCAUGAAUUGGUCGGAUCACGGAGGUUUUUUUUUCCUGGAAGGGAUUUGUAAACCUUACAGUACGAUGCGUUUAUGCAGUGUAGUGUGAUUGUCACAGUUAAGAGCUGUUGUGCUCAAGGAACAUUCUCUUUCGGACGAAUAUUUUAGUUCGAGAAAUCUCAAAAUUGAUAUGUUCGUACAGAUUCUCAUUCGGAAAGCUAAGAACCGUUACACAUGGCAUGGAUGCACUAGGCUGCCUAAAGCCCUUCAAGCGUUGAAGGUAUCAUAAUCUGUUAGAUGCUCGUGUUGGUCGGUUAUAUUUCAAUCACGAACUUGAAUUCAUUCAUGCAUACAUGACGUGAGCAGCAACGUGCACCCAUUUUUGUAACCUCUGCCUGGAUCCAAAUACUACCGUGGUACUAAUCCCCCUGACGUCUGAAUUACUUAGGAUUCAGCUUUACGUGAUUACGGAUUAGGGGAGUUCGCCAAUACUUCGAGUCCUGAAGAAAGGAUGCCCGCAGCUGUGACAAAUGUACAUACCACCUUCCCCAAUUAAAAAAUUGUGCUCUUGGAAUAGAGUGUUAGCAGCGACUGCUGGUUUUAAUUCCAGUUUUGAUAGACGUCAUGUUUAUCCGGAUACCUCCUUCAGUAGAUGGCUGUACUGCAUUAGAGCUAUUGGUUCGAUGUUUUCAUUAUCACAGUUACAGCUAAGAAACUCAACCGCUUAUUGACAUUAUCCAAAUCAGCUCUCUUCAGAGCUACGAUUCAUGGAUCGUGACACCUGAUAUACUUCUUUGAUUGAAUUGGUCCAUCCUCGUGCAGGAUUGUGAUUCUGAUGACGACGAAGAACGGAAAAAUUUGCCUUCACAAGGAUCAGAGGGACGUGCUUCGGUUCAAUCCCAGCAAAGUGAAGCCCCUAAAGCAAAAACAGGUAUUAUAGGAAUUUGUUUAUAUGGUACAUUUUUUUUUUAGCAGCGAAUGGAACCAAAUUUUUGUCGAUUGAAAGUUCUGCGGUGGGUGGGUCUUGCGAUGUGACCAUCUUUGAAAACCUACUCCACUGAAUGUGCUUACAGAAGCUGUGCUUUUUCAGACUGCCGGCGCGAGAAGUCGCUGGGACUCUUGAGCCAGAAAUUUGUGCAGCUUUUUCUGGUUUCCCAGGUGUGAAUUCAGGCAUUUAUGGCAAACAAUUUCGUAGUCUUAUACAUGAUACAGUUGCUUGGAUCUGACUUUUUAUUCCUUCCAAUCGAGAAGCCAGUAUGCGGUUUUAACCUAUCUCCUUACGUCUGCAGUCUCAAGUUGUCUCUCUCGAAGACGCAGCCCGGUUACUGCUUGGCGAUUGCAAAGAUGCCUCCAAACUCAAGAGUAUGUACUCUAAGCAUUAAUAAUUGUGAAUUAUACUCAAAUGCUGCUAAUUUAUCAAGUUCUCUGCUUGAUCUUAAAUCACGACUGCCUUUCCUUGUUUGAACAUUUGCGUUUUCUUAAUGACAGCUAAAGUGAGGCGGUUAUACGAUAUUGCAAACAUUCUUUCGUCGCUGCAGCUUAUCGAGAAGGUAGGUACUCAGUCAUAGGCACAAGCUAUAUAUUAUGACGUUCUUUGAUUAAUUCUUGUAAGUUCCCUGUGACUUUAAGCAUUGCCUCAUGCCACAUGUCGCACCGACGAUUCUCUUUUCAUGCUUUCUGAAGAAAAUCUGAGGUGAGAUGACAAGUAGAGUGCAUUUUGCUGACGAAUCCUAGCUGCCUGUUUUCUUUAUUUUGAUUGUUGAAUCUAACAUAUGGUUUUGGAUGAUGCAGACACACAUGGCAGAGAACCGCAAACCUGCAUUUAAAUGGCUGGGCACGAAGGAUGACCUUGUUGGCCCAGCUACUCGAUUGAGGAUAUCAGGAACUCAAUUCCAGAGCCAACAUUCGAGCCAAAGUCCAGCUUGUAGCUCGCUUUCAGUAGAAAAAACUAAAAGAGGUCUCAAACGAGCUUGUAUGAAUGCUCCGAGUGUGGAGGCCACUCCAUCAAAACGAGCUGCCUUGAAGCCUUUGCAGCCAAGGGACCCAAACCUUAUGACCCCUUACACAAGAGAUGUUAUAAACAAACCCGUGCCACUUUAUCCUCGUGCAUCUCAAAUUGACUCUCCUGUCUCUGACCAUAGAACAUUAAGCUUAGCAGCCUCGCUGCACGAUGCAGCCGAGUCUCCAACUGCACGUGGGACGCCAGUUGGAUCAACUGGUAAAUAAGUCUAAUGCUCCUUUGGUCCGUUUUUACGUUAUAUGUGAAUGAUGGGUUCAAUUUCUUGUGGUCGUAAAUCCGUCAUUUUUCCAGAGAGGCUCUGCUUCCGGCUACAUUUCGACUAAAUAUAUUACGCAUGUUUACGCAGGAGGUUGGAGAGAAUGGGGUGACAUCGUUCAAACCCAAGUAGUUCCCAUCACGCCCCCAUGGUCUGCGCAGUGUUGUGACCAAGCUGGGUCUUCGAAUGCAGCUUGCCCCACUGGCAGAAGUUCACCUAUUUGUACCCCAAGCGUAACCAGCUUGACCCCAGGCACACCUAAAAUGACGCCUACGAGUGGGAGAAGCUGUUGUACAUGUCAAUCCCGGGGAUCUCUUGAUAAUUUCUUUCCAUUCAGGUCUCCCGGUGCUUUAUUUAACCCUUUUUUCCCCCCUCCUCCCUUUCCAAUGCACCCUCAGAUUGCCGCUGCUGCUGGAUUUCCUUCCCCACCACCAGGAGUCGGUCCAGAGCAAUAUCUGGGACGGGAUCCGGCUCCUGUGCAGGAAUGUGCACAGCAUAGAUCAGGCAACGGAGUUGCAGCUGCCGCUGCCAUGCAAUACCAAAAUGAAAGUGAGUCCCUACUCUUUGACUCUCAUUCGAAGCAGGUUCCUAUUCUUCCAGCUUGUGUCAUGAUCACAGAGUCUACAUUAGGCACGAGAAAUCGUUUUCAUGCGAGCGUUGAUCUAAUUUGGAUCAUUUUAUCGUUUGUGCAGCUCUAGGACACAUGUUUGCACAUUACGUUGAGGCCUGGAAGUCGUGGUACCUACAAGCGGCUUCGAUGUCAAACCCGUCGUGCUUCGAAUCUCCUCUUCCUGGUCCUCGUUCUAGUACACCGCAGAGCCCUUUACAAGAAGGACCGUGAAAAGCUACACCAGAGGUUUCAGGACGUGCAGAGUGCUUGAAUCUGGCUGAAAGCCUUAGUUUUCAGGAUUGAAGCUGUAGCAGAAAUUUUGACACGUGAUUGCCUAUUGCAGUCAUUGGAGAAUAUAAGCAGUACAUUGGAAAUUUGCGUCAGAUAGGUUACCCAUCCCUUGGUGAGAGCUGUAACAGAAGUGUCAAUAUAUCAUUCUUUCCUCCAUCUGUCUUGGUUAAGAGCGUCUCUGUCUCGAACAAGGCACAAGACCCUGUGCCCCCUUUGGAUGGGGUGUUCAUCCUGUACAAUUGUUAGUUACCGUCUUGUUGAUAUCUGACAUAGGUUUUCACAACUCCACAUCUUUAAAGAUUGCUAAGAAUUGUGUUGAUAGUCACCGCCGAAUUAUUUGUAUUUGGUUCGUCCACGUGUAUCUGUCACUUGGUUGAAGAUUAUUCCUGGUAAGAUGACGCGUGUAUCCAUUUAGUACUUUGAAGACCUUUUAGUUUUUUUUUUGACAAUUCAGAAGUGUUGCAGUUUAUGAUUUUUGAACUGUUAAGAUACUUCCUAAGUCAUUCAAAAUUAUGAUCUCCUGGAAUUUCUCUUUUACUUUAAACUAACCAAUAUUUUGAAGGCCCAAGGAUUCAACAUAAUAUGUCUUCCGUUUUAUGUCAAAUGUGUUCCAUGUAGUUAGUUAAGAUUAUCUACUGCUUUGAAUAAUAAAAUGGGUUCAUUAAAACCUUCCCCAGGCCAACGGCUUGAAAGGAAAACUACAAAUUUUCAUUAUUGUUUUUGUGUGGGUUGCUUGUUUGUAAUCUCAAUACUGCUAUCUGGUCGCUGAAGCAAAGUUUAGCACUUAUUUCAGUAUUAAUUUGCCUUUAAACUUCACUUUCGUAAGUACUUGAAUUGUUUUCAGAAAACUAAUAAAUCGAGGUCUACUCAACAUUAGCGACUAUACUGGAACAACUACUGGACCAUGCUUCUACCGUAAAUCUUAAGAAGUAGCCACCUCUUCAAAUGAUGAGCAUAGAAAGACCUGGAUUUUUUUAAUUUUAUUUUCACAACUUUCAGAACUUCACUUUGGUACCAUUUGACUUAAUGAGCCACAAACAGAUUAUCUCAGGGUUUAGGGCUUUAUAUCCGGAAAGUGGAACAUGCAAUUACGGAGCUCAGUGGAAGAGGGGACGUAAUUGCGAAUGCGGCUGAUUACAGGGCUAAUUUUCAACAUGCCCUAAGAACUUCAUGCUUUCUGAUGGAGUACUUUAUGUGCAGAAUUUUGUUGAUGCGAGGAAGUGUGUAAAUGUCACGGAACAUCAAGUUAUUAGAAAUUUGCAACACUAUGCAGCACAUCUUUUCUGCAAUCAAUCUGAACGGGAGAUCUCUCAACAAUAGGCUUUGGAUGAAGUAUUUUGGUUGAUAAAAUUAUAGCUUCCUAAACCCCAGAAGUGUUUUUUUUCAUCCUCAUUUUAGAAUUCGGUAGCAGAAAAAUCUCACACAGUUUUAUCACCGAGCAAUUUCAUUAUGCGGAGUUUCCAUGAUGCGUUCUAGGUUCACAGGCAUCCAUACUGUAGGAGUGAGCGACUGAGUUGAGUGUAAUUCGAGGUCUCUUUUGUGUGAGGAGUGGUGGCGUUGGGUGAUGACAAGCCUGUUUGGCGUUUUUGAGAUUCUAGGAAAGCAAAAGGAUUUGGCCACGCCUUCAGUUCUUCGAAAGAGCUCUUGCAAUGUAUCGCCGCGCUCGCCUCCCUUUGCCUCUUGUCGCCGGCGCAGUGGGGUAAUCUCCUUCUCCUCUCUUCCCUCUCUUUCAUCCUCUCAUCUUAUUUUUUAUUUUUUAUCAAAUGGUUGUCCCAGUCCAAAAUCAGCCCCAAGCCAGACUAGGGUUAUGGAGCUUCCACUGUGACGUUCGACUUUUCUGUUGUUUUAUUGUGUUUCUUUGCUUGUGGGAAGACGUACAGGCUUGGGGUUUUGUAACGACUUACAUGAUAGGUUGCAAUUGAGUGUCAAUCGAUUUAUAUCUACUUGACUAGUGCACGUUUCGCAUUUGUUUGUUGAAAUUAACUUUUGAUUAUACCUCUGUAAGGCUUUAGUGCAAGCUGUGGACAUUAUUUUCGUAGACAACAUAGCUGAACAAAUGUCAUUACAACUUCUCAGGAUUGGGAUCAUGUCCGGUAGCUUCAUCUUCCGCCCGGCACUGGAGGAAUACUGGUCCCAACAUCCAACUGGGGUUGACGGAUCACCACCUACCACUGCAGAUCACUCUUCACAACCUUUUUCAUCAACAAAAGGAGCUGAAGAAGCACCAUCAUCAGCUUCGCCAAAAUAGAGAUAGUUUAGAACUGGUUGAACUCAUUAUUUAUUACUUCAUGACAUGGAAACUUAUUUUCCACUUUGAAUGCUCAGGUGUCUCACAAUGUUUGACCCCUGGAUUAUACAAAUAAUGAUGAAAUGAAGAGAGUAUUUGCUAAUCCAGGGCACAACUAUGUAUUUUAUCAUUUGGUGACGAUCAAUUCUUUGUGGUUUGGGCUGCCCACCGGCUGCUGUUCUCAGUCGCAGGCGUAUAAGCUAUGACAUCAGUUCAGGUACUGUUCUUCUCUGCAUUACAAAUAAAAUUGCAAAAAAUGUAUGGUACACCUCAGAUUCGGUAACCAGUCCUCCUUUCUAUUUCUUGAUAACCUAUGCUUUCUCUUGUCCGUUACACAAUGAGCACAUUUUGUCUUAGUUAACACUAGAGCAUUAGAAUUUUUAUCAUUGAAUCCGGAACCACACCUUCAAAUUGAUAAAUACAUUAAUGUCUUCACUCCGGAUCUGUUCAAUCUGUUCGCCAGAUAGCAUAUUUGUGUGAAGUCGGGACAUCUUUCGUACAUCAUAAGCAAAUGCAGUUGUAACUUUUGGAGGAUCAACUGACUUGGGUAUUGUUGCCAUAUGUGGUAGGUGUCCUGCAAUUCAACUAGUGAGUGUUUGCCUCUAGACAAGGUGAAGUAGCACGAAACGGCAUUUGAUCGGAAUCUGCAAGGGUAACAACUGUAAGGCAAGAAUUGAAAUUAGUGGCAACUAUCUGUGACGACAGGAUGCGAACGCACACUUGAUGCAAUCAACCAGCACUUGUGUGAUUCUAACGUCACAAGAAUGGGACUUAAGCAUGACAGGAUCAAGUGGGAAAUAACUGUCAGGCUUUUCCCUCGUGCCUAUAAUUUAACAACCCAGAAUAACUCGCAACUAUCUCGGUCGACGCUUGCUACUGACUUACAGCCAUCUGUAUGUGAAGAAAUUGGCAGACAAUGCGUGUCUUUUACAUUAAUGUGUGCAGCUGAAUCGGCGUGUCCACAAUUAUGUUAGCCUAAAGAAGGGAGAUUUUGUGAAGUCACAGGGCGUGUGUGUGCCACGGAAUGGACCACUUUUUUUUUUUAUGUAUUACGAAUCAUUGCCAAGAGAAUUAUGCUGGUUCGGCCACCUCAUUUGAGCCCUUUCUCGUGAAUGAACCCUUCUCUCGAAAAGCUCCCCAAUCAAGGAAUUUCUAGGUUUCUGAUAGCAACGGCACUCCAGAUUCUCAUUUCGCUGAUUCCACACAAUGAAGAGAAGAACUGACUCUCAAAUGGCCUCCUCUGAUGACCAAUCAGAGUAAACCAUUUGGUGUGAUUUCCUGCUCCCUGCUACAGAACUCCAGGGGUACAACAGGCUUAAACUCUCUUUACCUUAGACAAUCUAAUACAAAAACGAUGUUUUGCCAUCCAUGUUCUGUUUCUUAAAGAGAGUUGGGUUAUAUUUAGGAUGUUUUUUUUUUUUUUUUUUUUAAAUUUUUUCUUUAUGGCAAAUCAACUAAUUAGCUCAUAUUCAAUUAAUCCUUUUACAAUUGUGUUUCUUACUUAAAGAUUAUCAUAUAUAUAUUUUUAAAGACUUAAUUAUUAUUUUGAAUCCAAUUAUUUUAAAAAUACACUUCUUUUAGCAAAGAUUAAAUCUUGCUGAAGCAAUUAAAUCAAGCAGAGAUAUUUUUUCUAAAUUAACUUGUCUUUGCAAGAACACUUUUUAAGGUCUUUAUUCCAAAGGAUCAAUUAUCAAGUCAUAUAAAAUUAAAGUGAUUCAGUUCCAAAUUUUUCAAAUUUGCUUAAAUUUCCAAAAUUUGUGUAAUGUAAUCUUAAAAUUUUAAAAAGAAUACAAGGUACAAUGACUAUUAACAUAAAAACUAACUAAUCUUCUCUAUGUAUUAACAACCACUUCUUUUUGCCAUAGUAGUGAAAUAAACAUUACUUCUUUUUAGAAGGGGAAUUUAGACCAAAUGUUAUUUUAUUUAAAUAGAAAGCCUUGUUUUAGUAAAGAACUCCAUUUGUUGGCCAUUUGAUUGAUUGAAGGCACAUUUCUUUGAAAUAGAUUUCAGCCAAGUUUAGCCAAGAAUGUUAUUAGUUCUUCACUAAAUUUUCAAAAGUAGAACUUAAGAUUAAAGGUUAUUCUACAUAUCAUACCAUUAAAAAGAUCAAUGUCUUUCUUCUUGUUUUUUUUAGAGUGUUUUCAAAAAGUAUCUUCAAAUUUUGAAAAAAAUAGUCUUAUGGUUUGUAUAAAUACCAAAUUAAAUAUUUUCUUUAAGUAAGAAAAUAUUCUUAUUAUAGUGUGUAAUUCUUGAUUGAUUUUUGAUUUUUGAUUUUUUUAAGGUUAAAAGAGAAGGAAUUCAUUUGCCUUCUUCAAUUCUUUUAUAUUUGAAAGAUAGUUGUAAAACAAAUAUAAUAAGUUGAUCUUCAUUUAAGGUAUAUGAGCAAAUUUAAUCUUGAUGUUUGUUUCUUUGUUAGAAAAAAAUAAUCUAUCUUCUAUAACAAUUGUAUUAUAAAAAAAUCUAUAUAUAACUAAUACUUAUAUUAAUUGAUAUAUAGAUCAUAUUUUUAUUUUUAUUUUUUAUUUUAAUAAACAAAGUUGUUGAAUCUUUAGAAAUAUUAAUUCUUUAGACAUCAUUAGAAUGAAAAGUUGAAACUUAGUAAGAAUUAAGAUGAAAGUCAAUAAAUAGAAAUGUUGGAUUUUAUUAAAGAAAUCAAUUUUGAACUUUAAGAAAAAAAGGUAGAAGAUGAAGCUCAAGACAAGCACAUAUUUGCAUCUAAACUUUGCUAAUAUUUUACAUGUUUUUUUUUAAAUAAAGAUACCACUCAUAAUUUAGAAUUAGUAUCUAUGUAAAAUUUGGAAGCUAUUGAUAUUAAAUAAUUCAUUUAGCAUUCAUCAAUUUGUAUCAAAUAAAUUAUUGAAUAUUUGAGUAGCUAAACUGUAGAACUUCUAUAAUUAAUUUAAUUUUAUUAUUAUUAUUAUUAUUAUUAUUAUUAUUAUUAUUUUUUGUAGCCACUUCUAAGUUAAUUUUACCAAGUCUACAUUUGAAAUGAGUCUUAUAAAAAAUUUACCAUUCUACCAUGAAUAAAAUUAAGAAGAAAGAAUUUUUCAAUAAAAACUUUCUCACUAUAGAUUUUAUAUUGUGCAUUGUGUUAAGAGAGCUUCCUAAAAAGAAGAUAUUAAGAUAUUAUUUAUUAUAAUAAAAAUUUCAACAAUAUUGAUUUUAGUAGAACACUAAUAAUCAAACUUAUAUGAUUAUGUUAUAUAAAAUUUAGCUUGAAAAAUAUAUUAAGCAUCUUGUUGUUAAAAUAUUUUUAUUUAUCUUGAAGUUCUUCUUAUAAUGAAAAAAACCUUAUUCUUGCCUCUAUAUAUAAUAUCUAACUAAUGAGAUAUGUGAUGACAUUUUAUAGGUCAUCCAACAUGUGAUUUAUUUGCAAGACAAGUUUUGAAUAUGUGUGCCAUAUUACCAACUUUUACCACAAGUGGUCAACAAAUGUGACAUAUUGUCAAAGACAUGAAUCAUAACAAAAAUCUAAAAAAACAAAAUACUCUUAUAAAACUUGAAAUAUGAAAGUAAAAAAAAAAAUCAAAGAUAGAUGAAAGAUAAAAAUUAGAAUAGCUAUUGCCAAAUACAAAGAGACUAAAGUUCCUUGAACUAAGACAAGAAUAUUAUUGUCUGGCAUGAUUUUUUAUUUGAAAAUACAUUGAAUAUCUAGUUGUAGAAAGUUUAGCUUUAACUUAUUGGCCGAGCUCCAAUAAGUGAUUUAUUCUCAAUUUUGAAGUGUUGUCUUCAAGCAAUCAUUGCUCUUCCAAACCAACUCCAAAUCUUUUGUGGUUUAUAAGCACAAUGUAGCCUUUUAAACCAACUUUUCAACCACACAAUCCAAUCUUCAAAAGCCCUUCAUACACAUGCACUAUACUCCAAAGAGUGACAAUAGGUACAAAUUCAACACCUUAACUUUGAGCAACUAUAUCUUGUUCACAAAUUCUCCAAAUCUUACAAAAUUUUCACCAAAAUUAUAUCCAAAAUCCUAAACUUGACAAAUCUAACCUCUAAUAUUCAUAAUCACUUCAAAAGAGUAACCCUAAUUCCUAAUAAGGCCUUAGGUAGUCUCUUUGAAGUCCAUUGGGCAUGAAUUUUGGCCAAUAGGAAUGGAGAUUUUCAUCAUCUAUCUCCAUUCAUCCAUAUGAUUGAUCUAACUAUCCCCAUUUAUAAAAAAAAUCCUUUUUCUAAUAAAUUUUAUAUAGUAUGUGCCUUAAACACUAAACAAAAGAAACAAAAUAAGAUUUUAAGAGUUACCAAUGUCUAAUAAAGGUGGCUCUAAAUACAUUAAAACUAUUAUCAAUAUAAAAUCAAUCUCAAUAAUAAUCUUUUUAAACUAAUUAUUUCAAUGUAAAAAUUUAAUCAUAUUUUAUAACCAAUUAAAAUCUAAUAACAUGGCUUUCAUUACAUUUUAUAAUGAAUUUUAUAUUAAAUAUAUAUAUGAAUUAUAUUUACAUGGUAACCAAAUCACAACAUGACAAUGUGUUGAAGAAGUCCAAGAUGCAAUAAAUUGUAUUUGCUACUUACUAUCAUUUUUUUUUUUUUUUUUUUUUUUUUUUUUUUGAAGUUAGUUGAUAGAUUCUUUCAAUCAAGAAUAGUAUAUUUAUACUAAAGUAAUAAGACUAUCAUAUUAUUUGAAUAUUAUUAAGAUUUUUAUAACUUAUUUUCAAUAAAAUAUUUAAAAUACCAUUAAAAAUAGUUCAUAUUAUUACAAGCAUAUAUAUAUUUAUUCCAAUAAUAAUUUAAAUGAUAUAAAUAGAUAUAAUUAGAUAAAAAUAGAUAAUUUUAUAUUAUCUUGUAGAAAAUCUCCUUAAAAAAUUCAUAGAUAUGGCUUUGCCUUUAUAUAUUAUGAACUAAAAUAAAUCCCCCACUAAUUGAAAGGCCAUUCAAAUUUCUAAUGAUUUUAAUUAUUUAAUCUAUCUAAUAAAUUCCUAUCAUUAUUUGUUUAAGUAUCCAAUAAUUUUAAUAAAAAUUCCAAUUUUGAUCAACAUAAUUCUUUUUAAUUGAUAAUCUAUUUAAAUUCAUCAAUAUUAAUUAGCCUAUAUUUUAAUUAAUUAAGCUGUCUCUUAUUUUGUUUUAACUUCUCAAUUUUCUACCAAUUAAAUUUUCCCUCAAUUACUUUCAUACAUCAUAAAGCAAUAUAAGGAACUCAAAUAAUUCAACAAAAUAUACCUUUGAAAGAUAAUUUUUCAUAUGAUUUAAUUUAAGUUUAUAUGUUUUUUAUUUUUUAUUUUUUAUUUUAUCUAGCAUUAAUUAUCAUCUAAAAUUUAAAAUUUUCCUAGGAUAAAUUUCAAUCUAUGAAUGAAUUUUCAUCCGUGAAUAACUUCUCAUCUACAAAUGAAUUCUCAUCAGUAAUCAAGAAAUUGUCCAAACUUAAACAAUUUUUUAUCUAUAAUAAUUCAUCCUUUUGAAACCUAUGUUCAUCUAAAUUGAUUUAAAUUCAUAAAAAAUAGUUUUUAUUCACUAAAAUUUUAAUAAUAAAACUUUAAAAUCUUGCCUAAUCUUUGAAGUUGUACUUAAUCUUGGAUUUCUACUAGUUGGAGAAGUAGAAGGCCUAGUCUUUGAAAUUGUAUUUGAUCUUGGAUUUCCACUAGUUGAAGAAGUAAAAGUGGCUAAAAACUUGGGACGACUUUUGUUCUUCUUUAGUGUUGCCUCUAAUUGGUCUGUAGUCUUAUGGCCGACUUACUAUUGUCUUUCCUCAAAGAAGGUCCUUGCUGCCCCUUUGGAGUUGAUUCCAAUGUUGCUUCUUCCUUUGAAUAGCCACACACUUUGAUGUAGCACCUCUCUAAAGUAAAGAGUUGAUAAAAAUAAUUGUAGUGAAUGCUUUUUGUACCUUGCUAUUGCAUAUGUUUGAUAAUAUAAAUUCUUAUAAUUUUUUGGCUUAAAUAAAAUUAGCUUGUAGUUUAGAUGCAAGGCUCAUUAAAUAGCAAUAAGAUUAUGGAGAUGGAAAAUGCCUUCUAUCUUUGAUAUUUACUUUGACUAAUACACCUUCUUACCAAAAAUCAAAACUCUCUUAUUGGUGGUACAAAUAAGCUUGCAAGCCACUACUACUCUAUCUAUUUAACUUAAUAUUUGCUUAAUAAAAGGCAAUCCUCAAUAUCAACUCUUAGAAAGAUAAAUCUCAUAAACAUAAUAUUAUACCAACUAGAUUUCUUCUCGUAGAUUAGGUGUUCAAUUUUGGUCGACUUUUAAUCUUGUUUUUUUUUUUUUUUUUUUUUUUUUUUUUUUUUUUUUUUUACAAUAUGCUUGCUUGGAAUUUCCUUCUAAGGUUGUUUAAGCAAUAGAACUUAGCCAUCUUCAACUAUAGAGUAUAACUGUAACAAACAAGAAGUUUGCAAGUUUAUAGUUUAUGAGCCUUCAAUUGUGAUCUCUGUAAUUAUCAUCCUAUUAAUUACUACAUCCUAUUAAUUGCUAUUUAUUUCAAAAUUUCUAUUUUAACUCUCUAAUUAAAUAAUUUUAAGAACUAUAAGUAUAUUUUUUGCAUUUAAAUUCACAAGUGAGUCAAUUUUAAGACUCACAUGUAUAUCCAUAGGUAAUUAAUAGGUUGAAAAAUUAACCACUUGUUGUACAUGUUGGUCACUUGUGGUACAAGUUGGACAUGUGCUUGUCAAAGACAUGAAUCUUAAAGAACCAAAAAUUUAAUACACUCUUCACUCAAAAAGAUUAGAAAGUUCUAAAAAAAGACAAAAGACUACAAAUGCAUUGACAAGAAUGAAAAAAGCUUCAUUCUUGCCUCCAUAUAUAUUAACUAAGAGCUAUCUAGUGACAUUCUACAUUACCUUUGAUACAUCUCAAAUUUCUAAGACAUGUAUUUUAACUGGUAAGGCAAUUUUUUUAUAUAUAUGCCACAUUGUUAGCUUGUACUAUAAUCUACUUAUACAUAAGAAAUGUGGCUAACUUGUUAGUCAAGUUUUUAACCUAUUAAUCAACUAUAAACAUGUAUAAAGCCAAAUAUAUGUCUAUGAUGAUUAUUUUUUUUAUUUGAUUAUUGCUGAGGCUUUUGUAACUUUUUUCAAAUAAAAAAUUUAGAAUAUUGUUGAAGUUGAUUCUUAUCUCUAAUAAUAAUACUAAGCAUUGAGAAUCUCUUCCAAAGUCAUGAUAUCAAAUAUGCUAUAUCUUAUUAUCUAUUUAAAGAAAAAAAUGUUAUUUUUGAGAAUCUUUAUCUCUAUUAUAUCACCUUGAAGGUUAUCACAAUUAUAUUAUUUUGUCCAAUAACUCAAUAAAUGAUAAUUCAAGAAUUCAAUUUAUUGUAUGUGGAUUUUUUAUUUCUUUAGUAUUACAAAUAGUUACAAACAAGAAUAGAAUAUAGAAUGUAAUCUUUUUUAAACCAUAUUUUUUUUAUAGUAAAGAUUUGAUAUUCUUCACCUUGAUUUUGAUAGAUGUUAAUGAUGAAAAGCAUCAAUUUUUUUUAUUGUAUUUGUAAGAUUCUUAGUUGGAUUUCAUAGAUAUUUAUUAUUAUUAUAUUUGUACUAAUAAUUAAGGUAUUCCAACUUAUUUUUGCACCUCCUUGAGUCCAAGUUUUUUUUGACUUUACAUUCUUGAUUAUUUUCUACUUUUGUAAGAAGAAGUGACAUUUUUCAACUUCUUUAAUUUUUUUAGUUGUGCCUCCUUUGUUGUAUGUAGCUUUGGCAAAUAAUUCACAAAAUCUUCUGCCACAAGGUUAUGAAUUUUUAAAAAGCCAAAAGAAUCAAGUUAUAGAUGAUAAUUAUAAUUGACAUAGAAAGAUGUUUGUUGAGUAAAAGAAUAUAUUAUAUUAUUACAAAAAAACUUUGGCAAUAGAUAAAGAGUUGUGUAAUCAUGUUGUUGGUAGUUAAUGAUACACUUCAAAUAUUACUCUAAAACUUGAUUCACUUAAUCUAUUUGUCCAUUAAUUUGAAGAUGAAAAGCCAAAGAUAUUUUCAUAUCCAGCUUUAAAAUUUUGAAAAGAGUUCUUUAAAAUCUUGUUACAAAUUGAAUCCAUUUAUGCAAUAUAAUAUCCUUUGAAAAUCUAUGAUAGCAAUAAAUAUUGUCAAAAAAAGCUUAAUUAUUUCUUCAUUUGUAAUAAAUUUUGUAUAUGAUACAAAAUAUGCCAUUUUGAUGAAUUGAUCUACUAAUAAAAAUAUAGGAUGAUAAGAAUUUGAAAUUAAAAGAUUUGUAAUAAAAUCUAUAGAAAUAAAAAAUUAUGAAUACUUUGAAAUAGAUAAUGGUUGAAAAAGUCUAUAAAAUUGAUGACAAGGAGUUUUUGGUCUUAAACAAACAUUAUAUGAUUGUACAAAGUCUUUGAUUGCAUUCUAUAUUUGAAGCUACUAAAAAUCUCUAGAUAUUAAUUCCAAAAUAUUUAGAUUACAAAACUUUUAGUUUCAAGUUCUUAUAACUAUAUUUCUGAUAUAAUCAUAAUUUGAAGUACUUUUUAGAUAAUGAUGCCAUUUUUGAAAUAAAUCCAUAAUUACAAAAAGUUUUUUGUGAUAUAUUUUAUAAUUAAUUUCAAUUGUUGAAUUUUUUGGAAUGAAAUGUCAUAGAAAUACAACUGAAGAAGGUUCCAAUAGGAUCUAAGAAGGCUCCUAAAAGUUCUAGGAAGUUUUAGAAGGUUCCAAAAGGUUCCAAUAGGUUCUAAGAAGGUUCCAAAAGGUUCCAGUAGAUUUUAAAAAAAUUCUAAAAAGUCAUAGGAGAACUUAGAAGGUUCUAAGAGGCUUUGGAUGAUUUAGGAAGUUGCCAAAGAAGGAUAUUAGAUUUUCUUUGUUACCAAGCUUCAUAGAAACUUCUCAAAAAGCUUCUUAGGAUAUAAUAUAUAUAGGAAUUGAGGAUGAAGAGAUCCUCAAUCUCGACAACUUACUUCUUAUGGUAUAGCUAGGAUCUUCUUACCUUGUAUCCAAUUGUUGUUUUAAUGUCAAGCUAAUUCUAUUUCUUGAUCUUAAAUCCUUGUCUUGUAUAUGAUCCUUAACAGUUUGUCAAGAUUGCCAUAAAAUAAUAUUAGGAGCUUUGGCUUUCUUGAUAGAGAGUGGAUUAUCCCUCUUCUUGGAAGUACUUUAGUAUUCUAGAGGUUGCAGAUUAUCCUCCUCUAGAUUAUUAUUAUUAUUAUUUUUUUUAAAUUCUUUUAUUUUUAUUUUUUUUAUACCAUAGACCAUAUUUUUUUUCUUUUAAAGGUAUGAAUUUCUUUGAUUUUCUAUAAUAGAAGGUAAAAAAUUCAAUAUGACAAAUUUUAAAGAAAUCAAGUUAGAUUCUAUUAUUAAUGCUCUUAAAGCAUUGAAGAUUAGAACACAGACUUUGUCAAAGUAGAAUGAAGAACUAUAUAUGACCAUAUAUAAUAGUUAAAGAGCUAGAGUGCCUCAACCACCACAUCAAAUCAUAAUAGAGGUUCCAAAUUAUCAAAUAACUAUGUCUACUUCAAAAAUGGGAGGUGCAUCCACUCAAGGCAAUGAUCUGAUAAUAUUAACAAUAAAAGAACCAAGGAUCAACCUUUUAGAAAAGUUCAAUGGCACCCACUCAAAAUUACUUGGCUUUGUAAACCAAGUACGACUUAUCACCUUGCUUCAACCUCAAUAAUAUUCUACUGAAGCAUCUCUUAUUAGUUUGGUUGAAAUUUUGCUAUAAGAUCAAGCUUUAUCUUGGUUUAGACUAUUAUUUCAAAAGAAUUUUCUUCUAUUGUACAAUUUUGAAGCAUUAUUGGCAACAUUUAUAGAAGCAUUUUGUAAACAUAAUAAGAUUUGUUCUUCAACAACUAAAAUUUGAAGCCUUUGACAAAAAAUGCAUUUUGCAUCAAUGUAUGCCUCAGAAUUUUGACAAUUAAUAUAUAAUAUAAAUUGGGGAGAAGAUGAAUUGAUGAACCAAUUUUAUUGGAGAUUAAGAGAUGAUGUCAAGGACUUAUUGUUGUCAAUGCCAAAUCUUCUAAUACUCAAUGAAGCCAUUAGUCAAGCUGUAAAGUAUGAUAAUCAUUUAUUUUAAUGAUGACAAGAUAAAAAUUUUUCAACUACGCUAUAUAUACACCAAUUAUUGUACAACUUCUUCACCAUCCAAUUCUAAUAAGUAUUUGGAAGCAGAAGAUAUGCAAAUUGAUAUAGUUUGCUUCAAUCCUCUUUUUGAGCAAGGAAAAAAACAUCAAAGGGAACUUGGCCUAUGCUUCUAUUGUCAAAAAUCUGGCCAUAAGAUUAAUAAUUGUUCAGAGAAAUGCCAACAUACAUAUUGAAUGAAGAGUACGGCCACAUCAUUAAAAGCGUUGUAAGAAAAUGAGGGACUAUGCAGCUAGAUUCUUUACUAUCACAAAUUAAAAAAGAUCUUGUACUCUUUACCAGCCUUUUUUCUUGUUUUACUAUACUUAUACAAUUAGGUGUUACAAAACUAGAGUAUCAUACAUUAUUUGAUUUGGGAGCUUCUACAUAUUUUAUUCAUGAAGAAUUUUUUAUAUCACAUAAAAUUUGUAUGGUCAAAAAAUCCAAAGCUAUAUAUAUAUAUAUAUAUAUAUAUAGAAGUAAUAGAUGGUCAACCUUUAUCUUUUGGAGAUAUCAUUCAUGAAAUGUUUCUAUUAGAAAUAACCUUUGACAACCAUAGCAGCCAAGUAGUAUUCAACGUCAUUAGAUCACUAUUAAGUCCAAUCAUUUUAAGACUCUCGUGGCUUGAAAAAUACAAUCCACAAAUAGAUUGGGUAUUAUAAAAGGUAGAAUUUCUUCUAAUAGAUUAUAGAACCUCCAAAUCUAUAAAAAAGCUUUUAACACCCAACAAGCCAAAACUUAAACAACAUUUAUUUAUUAGAGCUAGAGCAUUUUUAAAGAUAGCCAAAUAAGGUACUAUGUUUGUUGUCUAUGCAAAUCUACAAUCGAAACAUGUGGUUGCUACAACAAUAAUUCCAAAGUCAUAUAAAGAUUUUAGAGAUGUAUUUGAAAAGAAAAAUGUGUACAUCUUGCCAAAGCAUUGUCCCUACAAUUGUGUAAUUGACCUUCAAGAAAGUGCUCAACCACCAUUUGGAUCGAUUUAUAAUUUGUACCAAAAUAAAUUUACAACUUUAAAGGAGUAUAUUGAGAAAAAUUUGGCUAAGAAUUUUAUUCAACAUUCCAAAUCACCAACUGGUGCUUUGAUAUUAUUUGUGAAGAAAAAAGAUAGAUCUUUACGAAUAUGUGUUGAUUAUUGGGACCUUAAUAAAAUCACAAUAAAAAAUUGAUAUCCAUUGCUAUUGAUAUCUAAACUUUUUGAUCAACUUAGCCAAUUAAAGAUCUUUAUGAAGAUUGAUCUACGAGGUGCUUAUAACUUGGUAUGCAUUAAAGAAGGAGAUGAAUGGAAGAUAGCAUUUUGUACAAGAUAUGGACAUUUUGAAUAUAAUGUCAUGUCCUUUGGACUUACCAAUACACUAGCCAUAUUCUAACACUUAAUAAAUGAUAUAUUUUGCAAGCAUCUUGACGACUUUGUUGUAAUUUAUUUGGAUCAUAUUCUAAUCUUUUUCAAGAAUCCAAAAGACCAUGAAAAAAUAUGUCCGCCUUAUGUUGGAAAAGCUAUAAAGUACUAGGUUAUAUGUAAAACUAAAGAAGUGUGUAUUUCAUGUGCCUUAAGUUAAAUUUGUUGGAUAUUUUAUUUCUAACAAAGGCCUUUUUAUAGAUCCAAAGAAAGUACAAGCAAUCAUCAAUUAGACAAAGCCAAAAAUUAUAUAUGAUGUCCAAUGCUUUUUUGGAUUUACAAACUUCUUUAAGAUUUUUGCGAGGAAUCACUCUAAGAUUGUUACUCCAAUUAUAUGAUUGACAUACAAAGACAAACUCGAUUUAAGCCUCAAAGAAGAAAAAGCUUUUCUAAGCUUAAAAGAUGCUUUUACAACAACUCCAAUUUUAAUACAUCUAGAUUUCAACAAGUCCUAUUUUAUGGAAAUGGAUGCCUUAGAUUUUGCAUUCAUAGUAGUCUUCUUGUAAUAUGGAGAAGAUGAAAAACUUCAUUCAAUUGCAUUCUAUUCUAAAAAAUUCUGAGGAACAAAAAUUAAUUAUAAAAUCUAUGAUAAAGAGCUACUUGCUAACAUAGAUUCUUUCCAAGAAUGGCACCACUUUCUUGAAGGUACCUCUCAUUAAGUGAUUGUAUAUAUAGAUCAUAAGAAUCUUAAAUAUUUUAUAUUAGACCAAAUCUUGAACCGUCGCCAAACACGUUGAAGUAUAUCUUUAUCACGAUUAGACUUUUACAUCACGUAUGGACUUGAGAGCCAAUAAAAAAUAUCAAAUGCAUUAUCAAGAUGUUUCUACCUUGAAUCAAAAGAAGACGAGAUAAUAUAUGAUCAAUAAUAAGUAACCUUGUUAAAACUUGAGUAAUUUCAUCUUUAAAUGACCAAUGUAUCAAUACUUGUAGAUUUAUCAUUUCUUGUUCAGGUUCUUAAAGCCUCAAAUAUAAAUCCUCUUAUUUUUAAUAUCAAGUGUCUUGACAACAAUCUUCCUUUAGAGUCUUCUAAAUUGAAGUAUAAAGAUAACCUCUUGUUCUUUGAAGAAUAUUUAUUUAGCCUUCAAGGGCCAACUUAUUUUCAUGUUCUUCAAACACUCCAUAACUUUCUUGUGGUUAGAUAUUUCAGAUUCAAUAAGACCUUGGAACUUUUGUCUAGAGACUUUUGGUGGCCUAAAAUGUGGAAGGACGUUAAGAAAUUUAUACUAUCAUGUGAUACUUGUUUAAAAUUAAAGAACCUUCAACAUUGACCAUAUAGACUUCUUCAAUUCUUUCAUAUUAUAAGACAACCAUGGUCAUUUAUUUCUACAGAUUUAAUAGAGAUCUUCUACCAUCAAACUCAUGUGACACUAUUUUCGUAGUUAUUGAUUGAUUGAUGAAGUUGGCAUAUUUUAUAUCUUGCAAGAAGUCAAUUGCUAGUGAAGAGAUAACAAGACUCUUUAUUGACAAUGUCUAUUGUUACUACAAACUGCUAGACGACAUUGAAUCAGAUCGUGGGCUACAAUUUGUAUCAAGGUUUUGGAAGAUACUCUUCAAGAUUCUUAAUGUUGACAUAAAUCUUUUAUCUGCCUUUCACCUUCAAACUGAUGGCCAAAUGGAGUAGGUCAACUAAAUUCUUGAGUAAUAUUUGAGGUACACCAUCAACUAUCAACAAGAUGAUUAGACUUCUUACUUGUCGUUGGCAGAGUUUACAUAUUAUAAUACAAUCUAUGCAUCCACACAACAAAUGCCAUUCUAUUCAAAUUAGGAUCAUUAUCCAAAGUUGGAUACAAUAGAGCCUUCAAAGUUGGCAAAUCUAGUAGUAGAGGACUUUGCUAUGAAGAUGGCCAAACUUUAAGCAACCAUAAAGAUUCACUUAGAAAGGGCUCAACAAUGUUAUACGCUAUUGGUGGAUGAAUUGAGGAAGAAACAUCCUCCAUUCUAAGUUAGUGAGAAAGUGUGGCUUCUUUGAUGCAAUAUAAAAACCAAUAUGUCAUGUGAUAAAUUGGACUACUGAAGGUUGGACCAUUUGUGAUUCAAAAAUAAAUUAAUAAUAUAACUUAUUGCUUAGAGUUACCUUCAUCUAUGAAGAUUUAUCCAAUCUUUCAUGUUUUACUUUUGAAAAGGUAUAAAGAAUCAAAAGUCUAAGACAACCUCCACCUCCUAUGGUUGAAAUCAAUGAUCAUGUUGAAUUUGAGGUAAAAGAAGUAUUAGAUUCAAGGAUAAGAUAUAGAAUGCUUGAAUAUCUAGUCCAUUGGCGAGGAUAUGAUAUCAACAAUUACACACGAAAAGUAAUUGGCAACCUUAUAAAUGUACAAAUGAAGGUUCAAAGGUUCCAUCAAUAACAUCAAUGCAUACCAAAAGUGGUAAAAUGAAGAAUAGUAGCUUAAUAAGAUGGCUUUACUAUGAAGAUUUUUAGUUCUUGGCCUCAUAAAAAAGGAAAGGAGGCAACUGCCAAAGAGAUAGUUUUUUCAAAUAUUUUAAAUAUUAUAAGUGAGUAGUUUAAGUUCACGACCAUAGUUUGUUUAUAUUCUUUUGGUCUUAUCUAUUUUAUAUGAUAUGGAUAGUUAAGAGAUAGAUGUUGUGUCAAUCAUACCAUCUCAAUUAAGUAAUAUGCGAAGAUGAUCUCGAGAUGAAGAGCCACCUGAACCACGAAGAUGUCGAAGGAUGCCUACUAAUAGGUGAUUGAUAAUUAUAUUUGAGGUAGAACCUAUCUAUGAAGGACAUCCAGAAGGAAUGUUUGUAGGAGAAUUCCAUAAUGAAGAUACUAAAAUUUAUGCUUGGAUACAAGUAGAAGACUUGGAAUACUAUCGAUGGCUAUAAAGGCUUAUAAAUCAUUUACCUUGUAAAAAACAAGUGAAAUAUAUAGUAGAUACUAUUUGAUAGAUUUUCAACUUCUUCCACAUAUAUUGACUUGUUACAACAUUACUUUUCAAAAACAUCAAAGUUAGAGGACGAGGUGAUGUUAUGGACAUAUAACUGAAGAAGGUUCUAGAAUAUUUUAAUAGAAUCUAAAAAGACUCCAGAAGAUUUUAGAAGAUUCUAGUGGAUUUUAAGAAGAUUCCAAAAGAUUCUAAUAGAUUCUAAGAAGGUUUCAGAAGUUUCCAAUAGAUUUUAAGAAAGUUCUAAAAGAUCAUAGGAGAUCCUAAAAGGUUCUAAGAAGCUUUUGAUAAUUUAGGAAGUUGCUGAAGAAAGAUCUUAAGCUUGCUUUAUUUCCAAGCUUCAUAAAAACUUCUCAAGAAGCUUCCUAGGACCUAAUAUAUAUAGGAGUCGAGGUUGAGAAGAUCCUUAGUCUCAAUAACUCUCUUUUUGUUGUUUAGUUAGGAACUUCUUGCCUUGUAUCCAGUUGUUGUUCUAAUAUCAAACUAAUCCAUUUCUUGAUCUUGAAUCCUUAUCUUAUAUAUGGUUUCUAACAUGAAAAGCUAUUCUAUAGAAUUUAUCAUCCAUUUCUAUUUGUAACAAUAUUACUCUUAAAGCAAAGUUUGAUGCAUAUUUUUUUAUAAAGAAUACCUUAGAUAAGUCAACGCAGAAACAUAAAAUCAAUGUAGAAAUAAAAAUUAUCUUUAAAGCUUCAAAAUAUGCUUCAAUUUCUUUAGUCUACCUAAGUUUGUAUUUACAUAUAAGAAGUGUAAGAAGAACUUCAACUUGAGAAUAGUUUUUGAUGAAGAUUUAAUAAUAAUUGAUAAAUCUCUAAAAAUAUUAGACAUCUCUGACUAUUUUUGAAAUCUUUCAAUUUAUAAUAAUUUGGACCUUCUUAAAAUCUAUCAUAAAGCCAUUAUUUGAAAUAAUAUAUCUUAAAAAUUCAACAUGAAUAGUAUAAAAUAUACACUUUUCUAUCUUAGUAUAUAGUCCUAUAUCUCUAAGUUUUUAUAAGACACAACAAAUAUAUCAUUCAUGCUUUUUUGUAUUUUUAGAAUAGAUUAUAAUAUUAUUUAGAUAAUACAUAAUAAAAUCAUUAAAAAAAUUCUCAAAAAAUAUCAUUCAUUAGAUGUUGAAAUAUAAUUAGUACGUUUGUGAAUCUAAAAGGCAUGACAUUAUAUUCAAAAUAUCCAUAUUUGGUUCAAAAUAUAAUCUUUUAUUCGUCUCUUUUUUUGAUGCAUACUAUUUUGUAUGCUUUUUGUAGACCAAUUUUUGUAUAGAUCUCUACUUGAUUGAGUUUAUCAAAAAGUAUUAAAAUUAAAGGUAGACAAUACCUAUUUUUGAUGAUAAGCUUAUUAAGUCUUUGAUAGUUCACACACAUUUACAAUGAUAUAUCUUUCUUCUUCACAAAUAAGAUAGGAGCACUUGUUGGAGAUUUUAAAUGGCAUUUGAAGUUCUUAGCUAAGUUUUUGUCAAUAUAUUCCUUGAGUGCAACUAACUUAUUUUACAAUAAGCUAUUAAUUGGUCCAAAUGGUAGUUGAGCUCCUUCUUGAAGAUUAAUUGAAUAAUAAUAUAAAAAAUAAAUUAAAAGGAUAUUUAUAUUUUUCUUCUUAAAAAUAUCUUUAUAAUCUUGGUAUUAACUUAAAAUACUAAUUGUAGUCUUUCUACUAUUAAAAAUAGAUGUGGUAUAUAUAACAAAAGGUGACUCUUCUUUUUUAACAUGUAUAAAUAUUUUUGCAUUUACCAAUAAGAGUUUGGUUGUAUUGGACUUAUGAAUUUUUAUUUGAUUAAUAAUAUCUUAAAUCAAACUACACGAAAAAUAAAGAUUAUAAGAAAUCUAAUCUAUUUAAAAGUUAUAUUUUUUUAACUAUAAUAAUUUUAAAAUAACUAAGUUGGAAAAAAAACUAAUCACAUUAAAUAUUGUUAAGCUAUUAUGACUAUUAGUUAUUACAUUUAAAGAAAUAGUUUCAUAGAUUAUAUCUCUAAAAGAUAAUAAGCAAUCAUUUAUUACUUCUACAUGUAUGUGUUUGAUUCUCUUGAUUAAAAAUAUUUUUAAUUUUUUGACAAAGCCUUUAUUAAUAAAACAGGUUGAAGUACUUCAAAAUGGGACUAAAUUCUCUUAAAGAUUUAAAAAUCCUUCCAGUCUAUAGCAAUAUAAAUUCUAUUACAAAGUAGGAGAAAAUAAACUAGAACAAAAUUGAAUAGAACUAAACAAAAUAAAAUAUAAAAGAUAAAAUAGAGCAAAUGAAAAUAAAAUAUAAUAGAAUAAAAUAGAAUAAAAAAUACAAACCAAACUUUAUUGAGAGAAAGAGACCAAAGCUAUACCUGACUAAUGGUCUAAAUGGCUUUCGCUAGUCUUAUCUAUAUUUUGUCCAACUAUCUUGGAACUUUAUAGAAUAUUUUUAGUAGUGGAUCCCACUAAAGUAACUACCUUUCUAAAAGAUUUUAGAAGUAGGCUCUACCUAAAUAAUUGUCCUUAAUUCUUCUAAGAUAUUUCAUGGUGGACUUUAUAUAGACCACUGAAUUAGUUCCAAUUCUAAAAACUUCUAAAACUUCUCAAAAACGGCUCCAAUUACCUAUCUCUACAUGUUAACAAUACAAUUAUCUUAUCUAUGUGUCAUUAUAGUUAAUUCUCUUCCAUUAAUGUGAAACAUCAUUAUUUUGCUUCCAAUGGUACUUCUAGAUUGUUAUUUGACGAUGGAUGAGAUUUUGUAGAAGUUUCUAUAUUACAUUGUAGAUAGAAUGGACUUCAAGAGGACCUUAUAUUGAAAUUACAGACGUCUAUUACUAUGAUGAAUGUAGCAAUACUUCAAAAUAUUCUCUACUUUAUACUCUUGUUGGUUAUUAAUCACAACUAGUGGUGGUGGUAGUUGAUGUUGGUCUAGAAAGUACCUUGGUUUAAUAUAAAAUUCUUUGAGCUACAAAACAUGGAAGACCAGAUGGACUUGAAUAUGUGGAAGAAGCUUGAGGUGAUAUCAACAUUAGAAAUUACUAUAGAAAUACAAAAAAAUCUAAGCUACUAAGGUAUCAACUUAUGAAUUUGAAUUGAUAUAGUAAAUAGAAAGUUGGCAUUAGAAAAUAAUACUUAAUCACCUUCCUAGAAGAUCUUAUAUUGCUGAUGGUUAUUCAUAUAUUGCUUAUGUUGAUUCUAUGUAAUAAAGAAGUAGUGCCGUGCUUCUUGCAAGGCCAUUGUAAGUCAUUAUAUAAACUCUUCUAUUAUUACAUUGUUGAUGUGGAUGGAAUAAUAGAGAAUUUUUGGUAUAAUUGGAUGUUGAUCAGUAUUAAAAAAAAAUAGUGAAUGACUAGUACUUGCUUGAAUACCACCAUUAUAAGUAAACUCCAAGGAUGUCAAAUAUUCAUGUCAAUCAUUAUGGUGAACCACCACAAAUGCUUAUAGUAUAUCUUCCAAAGUCUGAUUCAUACGCUUUAUUUGUCUAUCCAUUUGAGGAUAGAAGACCAUAAAAAUAACAAGUCGUAUACCUAGUAGCUUGAACAAGGCAUACCAAAAACUUCUUUUAAAGCACGAAUCCUGAUUAAAAACUAUGAAAUGAAAUAUUCUAUGGUGACAAAAGAUAGUAUUAAAAAAGACUCAUACAAGUGUUGAGGCAUCAAUAUCAAAUCACAAUUUAGUGAAGUGAAGUUGCUAUGAGAUUCAGUUUACAAAGAUAGUAUUUGUGAUGUGAUAAUGAAGCAUCUGCACCAAAUACGUAAUAAGGUCCAUAGUCACUUACUCCCAAUAUGUUGUAGGUAAUGGAAUUGGUUGCAAUAACCUAAAAGAUGUAUUAAGGAUAAGAACAUAAUAAAGAUAAAUAAACAAGUGAGACUUCUUUCAAAAAAAGAUGAAAAAAUAGAAAUAACUUGAUAUAUAUAUUAAAAAAGAAAUUGGAAUGGCUAUUGCUAAAAGAUAAGAAAAUUAGAAACCCUUGAAACUAGAUUGGAAGCAAGAAAAGAGUUGAUAAGAGAGAAGAGGGCUUCACUCUUGUUUCUAUAUAUACUAUCUAAUUAAGAGCUAUGUGGCGAUGUUCUAUAGGACCUCCAAUAUGUGUUGAUUUUGUAGAAUACAUGCCUUGACUUACAAGGCAAGUUUUUCUAUGUAUAGGCCACAUAAUUAGCUUAAUCUUCAAGCUAAAAAUAUGUGUGGUACAUGGCCAACUUGUUGACUAUGACGUUUUUGAUCCAAAAAGUCAAUUAAAGAUACCUAUAAAGUCAAAGCAGCAUCUAUAUAGCUUCUAGAAAGCUUCUAUACCAAAUACUAUAGAAUUAACUUACUUUUAUCUAUUUUUACUUAUUUCUACCUAUGUAACUAUUGGCUUACAUGUGUAUGUCCGUAACAUUACUCUUCCUUUUGGGAACGAGUUCCACGAGGAGCAGUAAUCAUAUGUUGAAGAAAUCUAUGAUGCGACAAAUUAUAUUCGCCACAUAUUCUGAUCUUUGUUCUCUUCGAAGAUGAUUGAUAGGGCCUCUCAACCAUCGAUAGUAUCCCAUACUAAGGCGAGAAGACCAUCUAAUUAUUUGAUCAUUGCUGAGGCCUUCAUAACUUCCUUCGAAUAAAAUAUUUGGAACACCAUCAAGAAUUGUUCAUACCUCUAAUAAAAUCACCAAACAUCGGGAGUUCCUUCCAAGGUCGUGAUACCAAACGCAUUAUAUUUUUUCAUCUAUUCAAAGAAGUACGUGUCGUUCUUGAAGAUCUUCAUCUCGAUUGUGUCGUCUUGAAGGUUGAGACAAUCGUAAUGUUUUGUCUGGAAGGUCAGCAAAUGAAGGCUCUUGAGUCGAAUCCGCUUGUUGUUGGUUCUCCAUCUCAUGAGCAUCACAACUACAAAGAAGCUACAAACAAGGAUUGAAAGUAGAAUUAUAUCUUGCCUAGAUCUUGUUUCUUUUAUAAAAAAAGAUUUCAUCUUGAUUUUGAUGGAUGUCAUUGAUGAAAAGCCUCCACCGCUGUCAAGAAAGAGAGAAUUUGCCUCAAGAAAACGCUGGGCUUCUGGCUGUCACUAAUUAUUCAAUCAAGCUUGAAAAUAAGGGAAACCCUAAGUUUAUAUAUAAUUUUUCUCUUUUUGAGUAAUUACACCAAAUACACAAUCUUCAAGUAACCCACAACUUCUAAAAUAUGAUAAAAUCUUCUAAAUCCUUGUUUAUUCUUAUGUGGAGAUUUUUCCGAACUUCAACACCUCAUAUCUCUUAAUCCGACCGUCCAAACAAAUUGAAAUGUUACAUGAGGUACUGAUGUAUUCUUAUUAACUUCUACAACAAUUUUCAACUGCAAAUUCAUUGCAAAACUUGAGAUAUCUUGAAAUCCCUAACAGUCGCUUCAAACCCUUGUCUUUAUACAUCCGCGUGCAAUUUUUUUUAUAUCUCACAAAUUAUAAGCUCAAACGCCACGAAAUUUGUAUGUAUAGCUUCUUAACACAAAAUUUUACAUUUUCCAAAAAGUUUGAGCCAAAAAUUCGUCCGAAAACUCAAGUUAUGGCUCCAACCAUUACUACAAACAAACCCGCUUACUUACUGCUUUUGAUUUAGAAGCGUCACUUUCAACUCCUUACAACUCCUUGAUAUGAACUUUUAAAGCAAUAAUUCUUUCAUGAAAGAUGUAGGCCUUGAAAUCGCCGUUCCAAUUGCACCUUCCGAUCUUAAAAAGCUACUGUAAAACUCCUCGUACUCUCAAAAGAGUAACAGUAUGUCUUAAAUAAACACCUUAACUUCAAACGGUUAUAACUUUUUCACCCUAAUUCCAAAUCCUCUAAUUUUUGUACACAAAUUGUUCUUCAAACCCUAAACUUUACAACCCUAGCUUCUAAUCUCCGAAUGCCCCCUUUGAAGUCGCCGAAAUCCCUUCUUAAGGUUGCAGGCAGCCUCCUCAAAGCCCAUUGGGCAUGGUAUUUGACCAAUAGGGAUGAAGUUUCCCAUUCCUUGCCUUCAUCCGACCAUGCCUUGUUUUCAUCCCUCCUAAUUAGCUUCCUACUAGUUUAGAUUUUUAUCCUUAGGUUUCCACCUUUUCCGAAGGUUUCAUACUAAAUAUUUAGGUCCUAUAUAUAUAUAUAUUAAUGUCAAAAUCAAAAGAAGUAAAGAAACAAAGUAAAGUUUCUUAUACCAACUCCUUUUAAUUUAAUCUACUAGCCACUCUAACACACAUCUAGAUUUAUCAACAUAUAAUAUGUUUUAGCUAAUUUUUACAUACUGUAAGCAUUUACAGUACGACAUCCACCCCGUCUAAACCUGCAUAUCCUUUGGCAUGUGCUAUCUGACCAUCUUUGUUUGCUUCAUUAUUUCCAUUUCUUUUCCAUCUUCCACUUCAUCUAAAUCCAAUGUUUUAAAAUUUGAAAGAUCACUUGAAAUAAAUUUGCCAUGUCUUCUCUUAAAUGCCUUGAUCUACUUUCCAACUAUAGGUAUCUUCAACAUUGUACCAUCUAACUCUCAAAAUAUUUGUAUUUCAUUGUGUUGCAUUGUUGCAACUAUAUAUGACUCAAACUGUUUUUAAGCAAAUUUCUUCUAUAUAUUAUAUUGGUAUUCUAAAGUACCAUUAAAAACCUCUAUUUAUAUAUCUUCUAUAUUAUUUGAAACUCUCAAUAUCUAUUUUUGGUUGAUAUCGAUGGACUAUUUUUUUCUAUCAAAAAGUCUCCUAGACAUGAUUUUUCUCUCAAAGUCAUGAAUAAUCAAAACUAAAACCAUAUCUUUAAGCUCUUCAACCUUUACUUUUGUCCAAAAUAAAUGAGAAUAAUCCACCUUUCCUUCUUUACCACACUCAAAGUUGUAGUUAAGAGUAUAAAUAAGUACCUUUGUAUCAUUGUGAACCAUCUUUUCAUUUGAUAUUUCUUCAACUAUACAUUUUUGAAUUUGGAUGGUCUGGGCUCCUUUUGUUAAGCCUUGUGCUCCUUCAUAUUCAAAUUCUCCUUGAUUUUGGAUACAUAUUGUAUCCAUAAUAACCCUUCUUUUACUCAUAUUUGUUCUAGCAAAUAUUUGUAAAACCUCAUUUUUUAUUUCUCCAUUGAAAAAUUCUUCUAUUUCUUCAACUUUCUCUUCUUGAGCUUCACUAGAGCUAAUUUUUUGCUCUUCUUUGUAACCAUCAUUAAUCAUAGGAUCACACAUAAGAAUAAAUACUUGGCCAAUUUCUUCUUCUUCUUCUUCUUCUUCUUUUUCUUCUUCUUCCAUUGUGUGAGUAUCUAAUGCUUCCACUAUAAUAGCUUCAACUUUGGAUUUCCAUGUGUCAUCUUUCUUCUUCUCUUUGUCUUUCUCCCACCAUUCUUUUGAUAUUGAUAUAUCUCUAGGAUAAGUAGAAGAAAGCAUCUUCACUAGCUUUUGCCCUUCAUAAGCUUCUUUAUUACUUAGAGACCUCUUCUUGCUUCCAAGUUCAACAUCCUCCUCAUAAAUAGCUCUAUCUUUCUUUUCCUCAACCAUGGCAUCAUGCAGAUCAUCAUCAUGUUUUUUUCCACAUAAAUAUGCUUUAAUAUUAAUAGUAUCAAUUGGAUCAUUCCACCCAGUCAUUUUUCUGAUAGCUUCACCUCCUUCUCCUUGUAUGGCAUUAUUCUUUGAUGUUUGCUCCAUUUGGAAUUUCUUCAACUCUGUCAUUUCUACCUUCAAAUCUCGUAUAUCCUUAAUUAAUUCUUCAAGAGUUUCAUCCUUAAUAGUUUUUAUUACCCUUUGAGGUGGCACUAGAUUUUGAGAUGUAGGCAUUGACUCCAAUCUUGAUAUUAAACCAUGAGUCUUAAUCUUUUGCUGUUUAGCCAAAAGUUCCACUAUUUCUUUUAUUAGCUUCUAAUUAUUUAUAAAACCACUCUCAGAUGUCUUGUCUGCUAGAUAAAAGAGAAGCUUGUCUUCCAAAUAUUCAUCAGCUGCUUGCAAGAAUAACUCAGUUUUCAUUGUUUCUAAUAGUUGCCUCUCUGUCCAUGGUAAUUAUCCAAACUUAUUUUCAAAUUCACUGAUUAAUUCAUUUGGAGCGAAUUGAUUCCCUGGCCUUUGCUCAAUCCACUCCAAGAAAGUCUGUCUUAUCAUUCUUUCUGAAUCUUCUUAAAAAAAUUCAUCUUUCAAGAGUUCUUCAAAUUUCUUCCAUGAUAUAGUCUUAGAAUGUAACUCUUACUCCCUUUCUCUGAUUUCUGGUACCACUCCCAAAUCAAAGGUGGUAAUCACCUUCAUCUCUGAAACUUAAUGCACCUCCAUUUCACAUGUGUAAAUCCUUAAGAACUUGGUGAUAUUCCUUCCAUCAAACCUCCCAACUUUGUCUACUACUACUUGUAAGGCCUUAGUAGUGUUUUUAUCCUCUCCAUACACCUGUUGCCUUUCUUCCAUAAAUUGAAAAAAUAUCCUGAAUAAAUCAUGGGCACCCACUCCUCCUGAUAAUCCAAACCCUGGAUUUUGAUCCUCCAUUUCAACUUGUUGAAAAAUCAAUGCCUUAAGGCUCUCUCAGUGGAAGCACCAAUAUGUCGGGGUAGAGAGAGUUUGCCUCAAGAAAACGCUGGGCUUCUGGCUGUCACUAAUUAUUCAAUCAAGCUUGAAAAUAAGGAAAACCCUAAUUUUAUAUAUAAUUUUUCUCUUUUUGAGUAAUUACACCAAAUACACAAUCUUCAAGUAACCCACAACUUCUAAAAUAUGAUAAAAUCUUCUAAAUCCUUGUUUAUUCUUAUGUGGAGAUUUUUCCGAACUUCAACACCUCAUAUCUCUUAAUCCGACCGUCCAAACAAAUUGAAAUGUUACAUGAGGUACUGAUGUAUUCUUAUUAACUUCUACAACAAUUUUCAACUGCAAAUUCAUUGCAAAACUUGAGAUAUCUUGAAAUCCCUAACAGUCGCUUCAAACCCUUGUCUUUAUACAUCCGCGUGCAAUUUUUUUUAUAUCUCACAAAUUAUAAGCUCAAACGCCACGAAAUUUAUAUGUAUAGCUUCUUAACACAAAAUUUUACAUUUUCCAAAAAGUUUGAGCCAAAAAUUCGUCCGAAAACUCAAGUUAUGGCUCCAACCAUUACUACAAACAAACCCGCUUACUUACUGCUUUUGAUUUAGAAGCGUCACUUUCAACUCCUUACAACUCCUUGAUAUGAACUUUUAAAGCAAUAAUUCUUUCAUGAAAGAUGUAGGCCUUGAAAUCGCCGUUCCAAUUGCACCUUCCGAUCUUCAAAAGCUACUGUAAAACUCCUCGUACUCUCAAAAGAGUAACAGUAUGUCUUAAAUAAACACCUUAACUUCAAACGGUUAUAACUUUUUCACCCUAAUUCCAAAUCCUCUAAUUUUUGUACACAAAUUGUUCUUCAAACCCUAAACUUUACAACCCUAGCUUCUAAUCUCCGAAUGCCCCCUUUGAAGUCGCCGAAAUCCCUUCUUAAGGUUGCAGGCAGCCUCCUCAAAGUCCAUUGGGCAUGGUAUUCGACCAAUAGGGAUGAAGUUCCUCAUUCCUUGCCUUCAUCCGACCAUGCCUUGCUUUCAUCCCUCCUAAUUAGCUUCCUACUAGUUUAGAUUUUCAUCCUUAGGUUUCCACCUUUUUCCAAGGUUUCAUACUAAAUAUUUAGGUCCUAUAUAUAUAUAUAUAUAUAUAUAUAUAUAUAUUAAUGUCAAAAUCAAAAGAAGUAAAGAAACAAAGUAAAGUUUCUUAUACCAACUCCUUUUAAUUUAAUCUACUAGCCACUCUAACACACAUCUAGAUUUAUCAACAUAUAAUAUGUUUUAGCUAAUUUUUACAUACUGUAAGCAUUUACAAUACGACACCACCUUUGUUGUAUUUGCAAGAUUUUUUAUUGGCUCCCAUGUGCAUUCACUAAUAUCAUAUCUGUGCCAAUGGAUAAGAUAUUCCAAUUUAUUUCAGCGCCGCCUUUAAUCUAAGCCUUCUUCCACUUCAAACUCUUCAAUACUAUCUACUUCUAUAGAAGAAGGUAGAGCUUGUCUUCUUUUUGGUAUGUCCACUAUCUUGUAUGGUUCAAGAAGAGACACGUGGAAUACUAGAUGGAUUUUUAUUGACUCCAAUAGAUGUAAACGAUGUGCAACUGGAUUGAUUUGUGAAAAAAUAGAAAAUGGUCGAAGCCUUCAAUAGUCCAACUUGUCACAAGGACGAGUGGUCUUGAUAUUGCAACGAAGUAACCAUAGCUUAUCACCCAUGUGGAAUGGUGGUUGUUUCUUUUGAUAGACAUCCGCAUUGACUUUUUGUUGUUUUUGAGCUUCUUUUAAUUGCACCUUUAUCGUUGCAUGUAGCUCUGACAAAUAAAUUACCAAAUCUUUCACAACAGGAUUAUCAACUUUUGAAAAGUCAAAUGUAUCAAGUCAUGGAUGGUAACCAUAAUUAGCAAAGAAAGAUGUUUGAUUUGUAGAAGAAUGUAUCAUUUUAAUGUAAACAAACUCUGCCAAUGAUAAAAGAGUUGUCCAAUCAUCUUGUUGGUAGUUAAUGGUACAUCUUAAAUACUACUCGAAAACUUGUUUAACACGCUUUGUUUGUCCAUCAGUUUGAGGAUGGAAUAUUGAAGAUAGUUUUAUAUCCACUUUUAGAAUCUUGAAAAGAGUUCGCCAAAAUCUUGAUACAAAUUAAGUUCUUGUAUCUGAUAUAAUAUCCUUGGAUAAUCCAUGAUAGCAAUAGAUGUUGUCAAGAAAGAGCUUAGCUGUUUCUUCACCUAUGAUAGAUUUUGUACAUGGUAGAAAAUGUUCCAUCUUGAUAAAACGAUCUACUAUCACGAAUAUAGACUCAUAAGAAUCUGAGAUUGGAAGGUCUAUGAUGAAAUCUAUAGAAAUAGAAGACCAUAAUUGCUCUAAAAUAGAUAAUGGCUGAAGAAGUCCGUAAGGUCAAUGAUGAGGAGUUUUUGAUCUCAAGCAAACAUCACAAGAUUGUACAAAAUCUUUGACUACUUUCCACAUUUGUGGCUACCAAAAGUCCCUAGAUAUUAGUUCCAAAGUUUUAUUGUACCCAAAAUGUCCUGCUAUUGGAAAGUCAUGACGAGCUUGAAGAACACGUAAUCGAGCUUCACCUUGUGGAACAUAUAAGCAUCCCUCAAAAUAUAGUAGAUUCUUCUUGUAUUCAAACUUGGAAGUAUCAUGAGACUUUGAAGGAUUUUCCUUAACAUCAUGAAUAAGAUGAUCAGAAGACAUACUUGACUGUACUUGCUUGAUGAAAGUUGAAUCAAUAGUUAAUGUUGGUUUAUUGCUUAAAGAUGAAGAUGCUCUACUUUCAAGAGAAUUAUUCAUCGUUGAUCAAAAGUAACAUCUCCUUCCUUUGGUGCAAGAUGAGAUUGUCUAGAGAGUGCAUCUGACAAACCUUAUUGUUUUCUUGAUCGAUAAGUGAUCUUGAAUUCAAAUCUUGACAAAGACAUACUCCAACGAGCUUAACGACGAUUUAAAACAUGUCUUGAUAUAAAAUAUUCAAGGUUCUUGUGAUCCGUAUACAUUGUGACUGCUCUAUAAGCACCUUCUAGAUAAUGGCGCCAUUCUUGAAAUGAAUCCAUGAUUGCAAGAAGUUCUUUGUCGUGGAUCUCGUACUUGAUCUCGACUGUUGAAAAUUUUCAGGAAUGAAAAGCUAUUAGAUGAAGUUUAUCAUCUGUUUCCAUUUGUGACAAUACAACAUCCAAUGCAAAAUUUGAUACGUCUAUUUCCAUAAAAAAUGGCUUAAAAAAAUUGACGCAAUACAAGAUUGGUGCAGAAACAAAGGGUGUCUUCAAAGCUUCAAAUGCUACUUUUGCUUCUUGAUUCCAUUGAAGUUUGUCUUUGCAAGUCAAAUGUUUAAGUGGAGCUGCAACUUGAGAAAAGUCUUUAAUGAAGAUAUGAUAGUAGUUGGUAAAUUCCAAAAAGCAUUGGACAUCUCUUACCAUUUUUGAGAUCUUCCAAUCCAUAAUAGUUUAAAUUUUCUUAAGAUCCAUCAUAAGUCCGUCAUUUGAAAUAAUAUAUCCUAAGAAGUUGACUUGAGUAGUGUGAAAUACACACUUUUUUAUCUUGACAUAGAGUCAUGUAUCUCUUAGUUUUUGUAAUACUUGGCGAACAUGAAGUUCAUGUUCUUCUGGGUUCUUAGAAUAGAUUAAGAUAUCAUCUAGGUAACAAAUAAUAAAAUCAUCUAAAAACUCUCGAAAGACAUCAUUUAUUAGAUGUUGGAAUGCUACUGGUGCAUUUAUAAGUCCAAAAGGCAUGACGUUGUAUUCAAAAUAUCCAUACCUUGUUCGAAAUGUAGUCUUCCAUUCAUAUCCUUCUUUGAUGCAUACCAAAUUGUAUGCUCCCCAUAGAUCUAUUUUUGUAUAGAUCUUAGCUUGAUUCAACUGAUCAAGAAGUAUAGAUAUCAAAGAUUACGGGUACUUAUUUUUGAUAGUGAUUUUAUUGAGUCCUCGAUAAUCAGCACACAUCCGCAAUGAUCCAUCUUUUUUCUUCACAAAUAAAAUUAGAGCUCCUGCUGGAGAUUUAGAAUGGCGUAUGAAAUUCUUGGCCAAAUUUUCUUUAAUAUACUCCUUGAAUUCAGCCAACUCAUUUUGAGAUAAAUUGUAGAUUGGUCCAAAUGGCAUUGGUGCUCCUUCUUGAAGAUCAAUUGAGUAGUCAUAGGAACGAUGUUCUUAAAGAGUAUCCGCAUUCUUUUUUUCAAAUACAUCUUAAAAAUCUUAAUAUUGACUUGGAAUGCCACUUGAAGUCUUUUCAGUAGUAGAAACAAGUGUGGCAUAAAUGACACAAGGUGAUUCUUUUUUUGUAGCAUGUAAAAAAGCACUUGUACCUACAAAUAUAGGUUUAAUUAUACUAGACUUAUGAUUUUCUACUUAAUUAACUAAAUUCUUAGUUAUACUUUUAGAAGAGUCAAGAAUAUGAGAAGUUCAAUCUAUUUUAGGGUUAUAUUUUUCUAGCCAUGAUAAACCUAAAAUGAUUGGAUUAGAAGGAGAUCUAGUGAUAUUAAAUAUUAUAAAGCUACUAUGAUCAUUAGUUGUUAUUUCUAUAGGAAGGAUUUCAUGAGUAACAUCUCUUGAAGACAAUGGAUGACUAUUUAUGACUUCUACAUGAACAGGUUUAGUUUUCUUUACUAAAAAUAUGCUUUGUUUUUUAGCAAAUUUUUCAUCUAAAAAACAUGCUGAGGCUCCUGAAUGUAGCAAUGCAAAGACUUUGAGAUAUUUAGGUCCUAAAAUAACUUUUAUUGUAAAACAUGGAGAGGAUUCUGAGGAGAGGAUAGGACCUUCACUAGGCGUUGUACAAGGUUCCAGCCGCACGGUUCCUAUUGUAGCUGGACGAAUUCGUUUUCUGACAUGCUAUCUUCUUUGAUGGCCGUACUCUUCAUUUUAUGGUUGCGUCACUUCUUUUGGCAAUAUUGAGCAGUGUGCUUAGGUUCUCCAUAAUAUAAGCACAAUGCUUUUUGAUGACGACGAGUGUUUUCUUGCUCAAUAAGAGAUUUGAAACAUCCUACAUCAAUUUGCAUAUCCUCUACUUUUGAAUGUAUGUAUUAAAGAGAUGUUGAUAUUGCUAUUAAAUUAUAGUUAUGUUGAAGUCCACUUGUAUGGUUCUCACAUAGGAAUUCAAAAAAGUGAUUGUCACACUUCAUAGUAAAGUCAAUUGCUUGAUUCUAUGUUUAAAGAUCAGAUAAGUUAAGCAUUAAUUUUUUUACGUCAUAUUGUAAUCCGUAGAAAAAUUGGCUAAUAAAUGCAGUAUCAUCCCACUUGAUAUUAGUUGCAAGUUGUCAAAAUUGUGAAGCAUACAUCGUUACUGAUCCAUUGCCUUGUUGUAAAAUACAGAUCUUAUUGAUUGCAACAUGAAUUGCAUCAUGUUUUCCAUAUAUGGAUCAAAACUUUGCCAAAAAAACCUCUAGAUUAUCCAAUAUUAGAUCUCAUCGUUCAAAAAAAGAUCAAAACCAUGAUAAUGUUGAACAUGAAAGAAGAAUUCCAAUGAAUCUAACUUGUGAUCCUGGAGUUGGAUAGCUUUGGGGUUGAAGUUCAAUCACAAAUUGUAUUUGAUUCAUAAAUCCUCUAAACUUUGAUCUAGUGCCAUCAAACUUCUUGGGUAGGGUAAUUCUUGGUUUUCUAACAUUGAAAGGGCAUUCUACCAUAGGAUGAAGGACAUAAUUUGGUGCAACUCCAAUCAUUUCUAUAUCUUCACUUCCUGCCAAUCUUGUUGCUCUUUAUGGUGAUAAAUUGAGUUGAUGCAUCACAAACAUUAACUCCCUCAAUUGUUCUUACAUUUGUGCCAUUUCACUCUUCAUUUCAAUAAGUUUUGCCAUGAUAACACCUAGAAAAGAGAAGAUGUCUAAUAUCACUCAAGACAAAUAGAGGAGAGGACUUGAGAACAAAGAAAAUACUAAGGACAAUAUUAGUUUAGAAGAGGGUUAUCCGUAACUUCUAAUAUGCUUAUGUGUUAUCCAAAAAAAUGGAUAAUCCACUCUUAAGCAAGAUUAGAUAAAGAUCUGAUAUUGUAAGUGUACUCUUGUCAAUCUAUCAAGGACAAAAAUAUAAUAAAGACAAAUAAACAAGUGAGACUUUUCUCAAAAAAAGAUGACAAAAUAGAAAUAACUUGAUAUGUGUAUUAAAAAAGAAACUGGAAUGGCUAUUGCUAAAAGACAAGAAAACUUGAGACCCUUGAAAUUAGACCGGAAGCAAGAAAGGAGUUGACAAGAGUGAAGAGGGCUUCACUCUUGUCACUACAUAUACUAUCUAGUUAGAGGCUAUGUGGCGAUGUUCUAUAAGACCUCUAAUAUGUAUUGACUAUAUAAGACACAUGCCUUGACUUAUAAGGCAAGUUUUUCUAUAUGUGGGCCACAUAUUUAGCUUGGUUUUCAAGCUAACAACAUGUGUGGUACAUGGCCAACUUGUUGACCACGUUUCUAAUCCAAAAAGUCAAUUAAAGAUACCUAUAAAGUCAAAGCAGUAUCUAUGAAGCUUCUAUAUCAAAUACUAUAGAAUUAAUUUACUUUUACCUAUUUUUACUUACUUCUACUUAUGUAAUUAUUGGCUUACAUGUAUAUGUCCGUGAUAAGAUGUCAUAUUGCAUGCUUUAUUAAGUUGACAUGAUUCACAAGAAGAUGUAAAAGUUUAAAUAUUAUAGUUCAAACCUAUCCAAAAUCAUGUCCUCAAGAUUUGUUUUAGAGUCUUCUUAGGCCUUAUAUGUCCAAAUAUUAGAAUAUCAUGUCUUUUUUAAAGUAUGUGCAUAUAGAAUAUAACAUUGUCAAGUAUAUAAAUCUGUUUCUUAAAAUAGAGUAAGCCAUUUUUUAAAAUUAUAAUCUUGAUAUUAUAUAUUUUCCACCUUUAACCAAUCACUAACCAUCUUAAAAUAAUAAUUCCAAUGCUUAGCUUCAUUCCAUUACGCCUCUUUGAUUAGAUUUGAAAUGAGACUAUUAAUGGUAAGGACUUUUCAUCUUGUCCUCUAAUUUGGCCUUCAAAUUUGGUUUCCUUGUUAAGUUAUUUAUCACAAUAUGUUGACGCCUUUGCUUGUAUUCAAGCUGAAUGUAAAAAACUACAACUGUUCUUCUUAAUGAUAUUGUCAUGAUUUCAUAUUUUUCAAAUAUAAAUUGUAUAGCAGGGAUUGAUAGUCAAUCCAAAUAACCAUUGGCUUUUCCAAUAGAUACUAUUGUCAUAUUUUUGUGGCAUGUACAAUUGCUAAUUGUUCUUGAUCACAUAUAAAGUAAUUAUGAACUGCCAUUCUAAGCUUAUGUGAUUCACAUACCAUAGAUUGAAGACUCCUACCAAAAUCUUAUUGAAAAACUACUCCAAUAGCAAAGUCAAAAGCAUCAAUGUCAAGUAUACAAUAAAGGUUGGAUUUAUAUGGUUACAAUAUUAGAGCAUUAAUAAAUAUCUCUAACUUAUCAAAGGCCUUUUUGUACUCUAAUAUCUAUUCAAAUGGAGCAUUUUUUUCCAAUAGACUUAUUAGUGAAGCAAUAAUGUGUACAAAUCAUCAAGCAAAAUAAUAAUAAUAUUUAGUAAGGCCUAAAAAUAAAUAGACUUUAGAAACAUCUUUGGAAGUUGGCCAAUCCUCUAUUGCUUUCAUCUUAUCUUGCUCCAUAUACAUGCUCUUGAAAGACACUACAUGUCCUAAAAAAGUAACCUCAAACUUUUAAAGUUCACACUUUGAUUGCUCAAAAUAGAAGCAACCAUCUCAAAGCUAGCACAAUACUUCUUAUAGGUGUUGCUUAUGUUCUUUUGAAGUCUUAUUAUAAACUAGAAUAUCGUUGAUAAAAAUAAUUACAUACUUAUCUAAAAGGUCCUAAAAUAAUCUAUUCAUAUAAUUCAUGAAUUAGGCUGGAGCAUUGAUGAGGCCAAAAAAUAAAGUAAGUCAUUCAAAAUAUCUUUAGCAUAUAUAAAAAGUUAUUUAUUUAUUUAUUUAUUUAUUUAUUUAUUUUUAUUUUUAUUUUUUAUCUUCGUUUAUAAUUGGUAUCUACAAAUAACCUUUUUGAAGGUCCAAUUUGUUGAAGAUGGUUGCAUUUCAAAGUUGGUCAAAAAGAUCAUCCACAUGUAGAAGUGGAUGUACAUUCUUAACAAUUUACUUAUUGAGGCCUUCAUAAUUGAUGCAAAGCCAAAAUCCACCUUCUUUUUUGUAUGCAAAGAAUACAAGUGCUCUCUAUGGCAACAUGCUUUCUUGAAUAAGGUCCUUCUCCGAAAGUUUGUCUGAUUUCUUUUAUAGCUCUUCAAGUUCAUUUGAUGUUUGGUGAUAAAUUGACUAACUUGCUGAUUUGGCUCUACUCAAUAACUCUAUUUGAAAGGAGGUACCUCAAUCACAUAGCAUACUAUUAAAUAAGUUAGUUGGAAAAAUAUUCCAAUAUUUAUGUAAAAGUUGCUUUGCCUAUUCUGUUCCUUUGGCUGUCUUUUUCACCAUUGAGGUAAGAUUUGAAACUACUAUAUAUAUCAAUUAUUUAUGUAAUAUUUUUUUCUUUAUAAAGAUCAUUCCUAUAAGUAAGCUUUUAGCUAGAGAAUAUUUUAUUACUUCACUUAAUGUAGAGGCACAAAGAAUCAUCUUACAUUCAUUGUCUUUAAAAAAUAUUAUCUUUGUUAACUAAUCAACUUGCUUAUUUUCCACCUCUAGCCAUGGCAUACCAAAGAUAAUAUCAUAUUUAAGCUUUUUUAUCUUGAACUUCUUUCUAAAGGCAUAUGUGUCAUUCAACCUUAAGAUUUUUUCUUCACAUGUCUCAUUUAAUAUGUUCUCUCAAUCAUCAACUACAUAUAUACUUUUUUCUUUGACCACCUUGAUUUUAUUUCCAAAUUGGUUUAGAAUCUUAGUUAAAAUACAAUUUUUUAUAGAGCCACAAUCUAUAAGCACUCGACAUAGUUGUUCUCUUAGUCAACCUAUUAGACACAUUAAUUAAUCCUUCUUAUAGUUGUCCAAGAUCAUAUUGUUUAUCUUUGAGAGAUAAUAACAAUCUCCAAUAUUGGCCCUCGAUGCUUUUACUAGGAAGCUUCAUUUUUCUACUCUACUUUUUUAUUAUCUAGAUAAAUCUUAAGAUUAUAAAUCUACCUUAAUUUAUUGGUACAUUAUUUUUGAUACUUCAGAUUAUCUCUAAUUUGAUGGCUUGGCUUCUAACAUUAAUAAUUCAAUUUUUUUUUGUACUAAUAUUUGUUGUCUCUAUAGUAUCAAUGGUCUUUACAAGGCAUCAAUCUCCAUUGGUGUUAGUUGUUGUGUUAUAGUAUUAGAUAGUGGCAUAUUAUUUUGUCCUAUUAAUCAUACUCGAUGAUUUUUGAAAUCUAUAGCACCCUCCCUCUUUGCAAUCCUAACUGCCUCUUUAAAUGUUUGCAAAUCCUUUAAUUCCACUUCUUAUUAAAUCACAAGUUUUAAUUCUCUUACAAAUCAAUCCAUUAUUUCUACCCUUGAAAUGUUGCCAAUUUCAAGAUAUAAGGACUUGAAUCAAAAGACAUAAUAUAGUACUGACUUAGAUUGUAUAAGAUUAGCCAAUUGAUCGCAAUCUAACUUCUUUGUAUUCAUGGGCCAAAAUUGAUUCUUAAUUUUGAUCUCAAACUCCUUCUAAUUACAAAAUCCACCUUAAGCUCCAUAAUUUUGAGCUUGAUAUUGCCACCAAAUGAAUGUUGCACCUUUCAAAUAGCUAAUUGCAUACAUAAUUCCUUGAAUGGUACUUGCUUUAGAUAAUUAGAAGUAUUGUUGCAUGCAGAAGAGCCAUUGGCAUACAUCUUCUUGUCUUGAAGUUCCAAAAUAUGUUUUAAGCUUGCUUAAUUUUAGCCUAACAAAUAUCAACUCUCUUGUUCUAGAAGCUUUCAUUUGUCCUUACAAAGUAACUAUUUGGUCUAGGAGGUUUUAUACUUGAGUCUCUAUUUGAGAUGGCUUUGCCAUAUCCCCCAUGCUAGAAUUUCUUUACCAAACUUUACUAUCCCAAUGCCUUCUAUCCUUCUAAUUGAUUUUUUAAAAAUAACUUGUCGUAGUUCCAAAACAAUAACCAGUGUGACCACAAGAAAUAACCUUUAACUAGAUAAUAGCUAUUAAUAUACUACCAAAGAAUAGAAUAAUAUUUUCUUCAAUACCAAUGAAAUCAGACUGAAUUCUUUUAAAGAUCUAAAAAUCCUUCUUAUUUAUAGCAAUAUAAAUCUAAUCACAAAGUAGGACAAAAUGGACAAAAACAAAACUGAAUAGAACUUAAUAAAAUAAAAUAUGAAAGACAAAACAAAGCAAAAAAUAAAAAUAAAAAUAAAAAUAAAAAAAAACAAAAUAGAAAAUACAAAUCAAACCUUAUUGAGAGAAAAGAACUGAAGCCAUUCCUAAUUGAAUGUCCAAAAUGGCCUUGGUUAGUUAUAUUUAUACUUUGUUCAAUCAUCUUAGAACUUUUUAGAAUGUCUCUAAUAGUGGAUUCCAUGUAAAUAACUAUCUUUAAUUCUUUUAGGAUAUUCUAUGGUGGACCUCACAUGAACCACCAAUCUAACUCCAAUUCUAAAAACUUCUAGAAACUUCUGAAAAAUGACUUCAAUUAUCUAUCUCUAUAUGUCAAUAAUACAAUUAUCUUAUCUAUAUUCUAUUAUACACUUAAAUCUAAGAAGACAAAGACUUUGUGGUUAUUUGGUCUUAAAUUAAUUUCUACUGUAAUAUAAGAUGAGAGAUUUGAGGAGAGAACAGUACCUUUAUUAAAUGAUGCAUAAGAUUCUAGCCGCAUGGUGUCUAUUGUAGCUGAAAAAACUUGUUUUUUUGACACGUUAUCCUCUUUAGUAAUCAUACUCUUUAUUUUGUGGUUGUAUUGCUUCUUAGACAAUAUUGAACAAUGUGCUUAGAUUUUCCACAAUAUAAGCAUAAAUCUUCUUGAUGACAUUGAGUCUUUUUUUAUUCAAUAUAAGUCUUAAAAUGUACCAUAUUAAUAUGCAUAGGUUUUUAUCUUGAAGACAUUUAGUCUUUUUUUACUCAGUAGAAAGCUUAAAAUGUACCAUGUCAAUUUAUAUAGGUACUUCUUUUAAUGAAUAAGCUUCUAUAAAUUAAGAAGUUGUUGCCAUGAUUUGACUUAUAUAUCUCUAACUAAAUCUUUAUUCUUGGUGUCUUUCAAAGAAUUGAUUAUUACAUGUAAUAGUUUAAUCAAUAAAUUACUUUAAUGAAUAUAUUCUUGGCAUUGUUAACUUUAAGUCUUUGACAUUAUUUGAUAAUUCAAAUUAUAAUUGAUUCAUAAGGACUUUAUUAUUUUAAUUUAAGUCGCAAGUAAGAUUUUGGAAUUUAGCAACAGGUAUGGUGGCUUAACAUGAUCCUUCUUGUAAAGAUAUAAGAUUGGUUUUUGCUAUCUUUUUUUAAUUAUUUUUUUCAAAAUGUUUGUAAAUACUUCUAAUAAUGAAUUUAGAUCAAAGAGAAGAUAUAAACUUUUUCUAUCAAAGGUAAAAACCAAGAGAGAGUACUUUCAAAAAAAUAUGUAUUUAUGAAUUUAACUUGAAUAAAUCCAUUAGAAUAUUGAAAAAGAUGCAACCUUAAAUAGAACUUUAUUUGUUGUAGGAAUUCUCAAAACUUUGAUUUUCUUCCAUAAAACUUUUUUAGCAUACUUAUCUUUGCUUCUUUCAUACUUGAAGUAGUAAGACUUUUUAGAUUUAGUUGUAAAUUUGAUCUACUUUAUUUCCUCACGUGCAUAACUUUUUGGUGUAGAUUUUAAACUUUGUUGUUGACUUCUUCCAUAGGCAUCAAAAUACUUACUCCAUAGUUGAUAUUAGAAAUACAUGAGAUUUCUACCCUAAGAGUAUUAAUAAGCUUGUGAAGAUCUAUAAUAGUUGUAAAUCUAUUCUCACUCCUAUCAAGAGUAGCAUCUAUGUUGUUUUUUUUCACAGAUAAGUCAAAUAAAUCUAAAAAUCAAAUUAAAAGAGGAUAAUUUACAACUUCUAAUAUCAAAUAAAAAUUUCCACAAAGAAAGAUAGUUGAAUCUCUUUAAAAAAAAUACUCAAUAUUAAUAAAUAUAAAAAUGAAUUUAAACAUAAGUAGUCUACAACCUUUAAAAUAUAACAACAGAAGUAGAAUAAUCUACUCAUUUUUAAUAUAAAAUAAAGACAAAAAAUUAAUAUUCUUAUCAAACUAUCAAGGACAUAAAUCUCAAAGAACCAAAAACUCAAUACAUUCUUAUGUCAUUUGGAAAGAAUAGAUAUUAACUCAAAAUUAAUAUAAAAUUGAAAUUAAAAUAGCUAUUGUCAAAAACAAAAAGAUUAGAAAGUCUUAAAACAAGACUAAGGACUAGAAAGACAUUGAGAAGAGUAAAUAAGACUUUACUCUUGCCUCCAUAUAUACUAUCUAAUUACAAGCUAUGUAGCAACGUUUGAUAGGACCUCCAAUUCAUGUUUAAUUUUCAAGACACAUUGUUAUAUUCCAUGAAGUUUGCUUGGAAAUGCAUUGAAUACUUGGCUAUGAAAGAUAAAGUAAAAUUUGCAAAAAAAAAGUCUUAACACUCCUAAUAUAAUCUUAAAUAAAAUUUAAUUAAAUCUUAAUAAUAUUAAUCAAUUUUUGAUGAAAUCCAAAAGAAGUCUUCAAGAAAUUAUUAAAAGAAAAAAAAGAAAUUAUAAAUUAAUUAAAAAUAUAAAUAAUAAAUAAAACUCAAGAAAAUAUUAAAAAUAUAAACUUUUUAUAAAAAUAUAAAUAUAAAUGUAAUUUUUUAUAUAAAUAUAAAUAUAAAUAUAAAAUUUUUAUAGAAACAUAAAUAUAAACUUUUUAUAGAAACAUAAAUAUAAAAUUUUUAUAGAAAUAUAAAUAUGUAAAUCUCAAUCAAAUCCUAAUAUAAUUCUAAGAAAAUCUUUAUCAAAUCCUAAUGAAAUUUUGAUAAAAUCUUAAUCAAAUUCUAAUAAAAUUAUUAAUCAAUACUAAUCAAAAUUUAUUGAAAUCCUAAGCCAAUCUUAAACCAAUCAUAACCAAAUCCUAAACAAAACCUAACCAAAUUCUAAUAAAAUCCUUACCAAAUUCUAAUAUAAUUCUAAACCAAUCCUAAUCAAAUAUUAAUAUAAUUCUAAAUAAAUAUUAAUUAAAUUCUAAAUCCUAAUAAAAUAUUAAUUAAAUCUUAAUUAAAAUCUAAAGAGUUGCUAAACAAAUCUUAAAAAAAUCCAAGAAAAUUCAAAUAAAUCUUAAUCAAUUCUUAUGAUUGUUUUAAAAUCUCAAUAAAUAAUAAUUGAAUCAUUGAUUUCAACUCAAAUUUCAUCUUUAUUUUAAUCUAUAAUUAGUUAAUAAUUUUAAUUUUAAAAAUGAAUCAAACUCACCAUUCAAAAAAAAAACUCUUAAACCUCUUGAAUGUAAGUUGUAUUCUUUUUCCAAUUUAGAUAUUUAUCUUUUAGCAACAAUUUUUCCUUGUUGAAUCUUUAAAUUACUUAAGAACUUGGCUGGUAGAUUGAUGUUUAAGUCCAAAUUUAUUUUACUAUUUAUUAAUUCAAUAAAACUAUCAAAUUUAUUAAGAUUUUAAAAAACCUUACUAAUCCUAAAUUUCAAAUAUUAUAGAUCUUAAUCUUAUAAAAUUUUCAUAUCCUUCAAUCUAACUAUUUGAUUGAUAUCAAAUUUUUUAAAUACAUUAAAGACAAGCAUAAUAACAAACUCUCAAAACUUCAUCCAUAAAUGUGCUAUAAUAUUUACAUAAUAUCCAAAUUUAUAAAUCUCUUUUUAUUUCUAAACAUCCAAAACCAUUGAGUACAUCUCUUACUUUAAAAGCCCUCAAAAAACUCAAUAUUUCUCCAAGUUACAUAAAACUAACUCUCAAAAAACCUUUCACUAGUCUAUUAUUCAAAUCCACUCUUUGAUCAACCAAAAAAUCCUAAAAUUAUUAUAGGUCCUUGGUUUUGUACCUUGGGAUAUGAUUUUGACCUUAAUUUACAACUGGUUUCUUUUAAAUAACAAUUCUUGAUAUUUUAGGAUAAAUUUUAUUAAAACCUAUCUUCAACUCUUCCUUAAAGAUGCAUAUAUGAUUUAUUUUUUUAAUAUACUUCUUUUUCUUUAUUUAUGGUCUUAUAAAGUAAGUAAAAGCUUCUUUUAUAAGAAAGUAAUAUUAAUACUUAUUAAUUUUUACUACCUCCUUGUCUAUUAUCUAUAUUUCUAAUUUAAUUUGUUAAAAUAUUUUUAUUAAAGUUGCUCUAUUAUGAAAAAAUUCUUCUUCUUUUUCAUCUAAUGGUUGUAUUAUAAUACAUCAAUGAGUAACUUGUAAAGUAAGUUUUCUAAAUAUGCACCAUAUUAUUAUCUUGUACCACAAGCUACCAACACAUGCAAUAUGUAACUAUCUUAUUGGCUAAGUUUCUAUCCUAUUAAUUGAUUAUAAAUACAUAUACAUGUCUAUGAAGCUUCAAAAUUAAAUAUAUAUUUAAAAAGAUUUUAAGAAGAUAUUCCAUAAAAUAAUAUCAAAUCUACCUAUAUUUAUCAUCUACUUAACACUUCUUAUCUAGGUAAAUAUGUAUGUCUAUGACAAUGGCACAUAUAUAAGAAGCUUGUUGUGAAAAUUGGACACGUAUUGGAGAUUCUAUAAAAUGUUGUCAUAUAUUUUGUAGUUAGAUAGUAUAUAUGAAUAUGAAAUUAAAGCCAUCUUCAUUCUUAUUAAUUAUUUUCUUACCUCUAAUUUAAUUUUAAGAAUCACUAAUUUAUUAUAUUUUAUUAAUAGUUAUUUAAAUUUCUUUUUGAAUAUAAAAAAUUAUUUAUUUAUUUAUUUAUUCAUCUUUUUUUGAAAAAAAAAUUAUUUAUUUAUGUACAUUCUUUGAGUUUUUAUUCUUUAUACUUACCUCCAAUAAAAUCAUCAAGCAUUCAUAAUCUCUUUUAAGGUUGUAAUAUCAAAUACAUUAUAUCUUAUCAAUUAUUUGAAGAAUAUGUCAUUUUCAAGAAUCUCCAUUUCUAUUACAUUUUUUUAAAGGUUGUGAUAAUUUUAAUAGCCUGUCUAAUUAUUCAAUAAAUAAUAGCUCUUAAAAUAAAUCUGCUAAUUAUUGAUUUUUUAUCUAUUUAAUGCUAUAGAUAAAAGAAACUAUAAACAAUAAUAGAAGAUACAAAGCAAUCUUUAUUUAAUUUAAUUUAUAGUAAAGAACAUUUUUACUUUUCAUAAUAUUUUUUAUAGAUUUACUUUAUUUAAU